rnacentral:lncRNA from 1 species
GCUCUUACCCGGGCCUGCAACCUCAUCAGUUGCAAUGUUUAUGGCUGUUGCAAUCUGGGGUUCCUCCACUGGGACCGUUUUGCCAUUGUACUCCAAGUAGAGCUCUAGCCCUUGCCUUGCAUGGUUCUGCAACCUGAUUAUAAGAGGUACCCUGGUGCAAAUGCCCUGGCUACGAGGAAGGUUAACACCAGCCAAGGAUUCAAGAACACUAGACUUGCCUGAUGACUGGUCUCCAACCACAACAAUUGUGGGGAGCUGUAUGCCUUCUUUCAUCACCAUGAGCAGCCUGAGCCUGUCGAUGACAUCAAGCAAAGGUCGGAUUUUGUCAUUGUAUGAUGAAAUAAUUGGGGCUUGGGCUGCUGCUGCUCCCACCACCUUAGGUUCUUCCAUAGGAGGAGUUGCUGGUUGAGAAUCUUCAUAAUCAUUGAUGACACCAAUGCUCCCUGAAUCAGCUUCAUCAUAGCUACCCAUUUUUUAGAAGUCGAGACAGGAUGGGAAUUGGCCAAACUUGAUGUUUUAGAUGGUUUUUUUUGUUGGAAGUUGGAAAGCAAUAAACUUGAACUAAAGUGAAGACAAAUUCAAUGAAGCAUGUUUGGCUUUAUAAUGAAAAUUAAAAUAGGGUAAAGCACCGAAAUUAGGAACAAUAAAGCGAUAGCAUCCUAUACCAAACCCCAAGAAACAAGCAAACGAAGCUACAAUGGGAAUGGAAAACUUUAUGUUAUACUUUGAAUUGUAGAAAAUAAUGAUACAAGGACAGAAGAGAGGAAACAGAACAAAAUCAAAUCGUGACCAACCAAAAGAUGAGUGUGUCGAUGACAGAAAGUUCGAAACAUAAACAGCCCCACAAGUUCCUACAGGAACUAGACAGCAGAACUAUAUGAAACAAUGUAUUCACAUUGAAGUUUCGGAUAGAUGCCACGUACAAGCCAUGUUGCCAUUACCUCAUAUGCUCUUUGUGUCAAAUGAGCUCCAUCCCAACUAAGCUGUUCAUUAGGGUUUUCGCAUACCGGUACUUUUGGAUCUCCGCACCAACUUGAUAAGCCAGAAUUGUAGUCUUCCCCAAUUCCGCAGCAAGCUUUUUGCAAUGAUGUUGGAUCAAAACCAGAUGAGAUUUUUCGAAAACUCAGAACAUGACUAGAACCAUUCACAGUACGAUCACAUAAACUUAUGGAUGCAAAUAAAUCAGACUUACCAAGCAGAUCAGCUUUGCUCAAAAGCCACAGGAAUGCAUUGUAGUAGUCACCGUAGACAACGAUUACAUCUGGAUGUUUUUCUUUUAGCUGAUCAGCAAUAGCUUGUUGAAGAAGAUGAUUAUGAUAGAUUGAAAAAAAGGCUUGACUUCGUCCCUUUCGUAUACCUACUCUAAGACAAAAAAAAAUCAUUUUAUUAAUUAAGCUUUUUGUUUAUUAAUAAUUUGUUUUUUUUUCAAAUUCAUUAAAUACAAUUAAAAACAUUUGGAAGAAAAAUCUAAUGGUAGACUAGAUAUAGUUAAGAUAAUAUCUAACAGAGAGAUCGAUGUUCGAGUAUUUGUUGAAGUUCCUACGUAACUUUUAAUAAUUUUACAAACGGAUAGAGAUAAUAGUUUAUUCGAACAUUUAUUUUUAAUAGAGUGAAGAAACCCAAUUAUUUAAUUUAUGGGUAAACUACAUAAAGGGUAACACAAGUAUAAAAAGUUACAAAAUGUUCAUCUAACUAUUCAAUAUUGUUUUUUUAGAUCACCCGGCUAACGGUGGCUACUUUUAAAAUUUGAAUAAUAGAAAUUUAACCCUCAACACUUAUAUAUUGUAUCAAUUUAGUCUUGAUUCUAAAAAAAAAAUUUAACUCUCAACAUUUACACAUUGUAUAAUUUGGUCUCUCUUUUUGUAAUUUUGCUUUUCUUUGUGACAUUUAGUGUUAAUUUUAAAAGAAUAAGAAAAGAAAAAAAAUAUUAUCUUAGAUUUCUGGGUGCUCCUAUUUUUUAUAUAUUUUUAAUCAAAUUUAACUGAUAAAUUUAUUUUUAACUUUUUAAGUGAAAGGGUAAAGAAAAACAAAGUUGUACUAGAAAAAAGAAGAUCAAACUACCCAAUGUAUAAAUGUUGAUAGUUAAUUAUUUCUGGAAUCAAGAUUAAAUUGACAUAAUUUAUAAAUAUUGAGGGUUAAAGUUGAUAUUAUGCGAAUAUUAAAAGUUGCCACCGAUGAUCAGUAACCAAAAAAGACAAAACUGAAUAACUUAGUGAUCAUUUUGUAACUCUUCAUAAAUUUUAGUACAAAAUUAAGUGAAUGUUAACGUGUUUGAGGCAAAUCUCGAUGAACAUGUCAUGCAACGCAUAGCUAAAGGGGUAGAUAAGAGCUUUAGACCUCUUUUAGUUAAAUGGUAUCAUUAUGAUUAUAGUGCCUCUUAAAUGUCAAUUGUUUAAUUUAGUUCCUUUCUAGCUUUUAUUUAAAUGGAACAAUUGUAAUUUAGACCCUUUUCAAAUGUUUAAAUUUAAUUUCAGUUAUUUUAACGUAAAAUAUUUUAGCUUUGUCCCCUAUUUUUUUAAUUUUAUCUUGGCUCUUCAUCACAUAAUUCAUGACUGACAUAUAUGCCAUAGGUCAUAAGAUUGAGUCAAACUAUGCAAAAACUCUUUAGUUUCACCUGUUUGAGCACUUCAAGGCGUUCUCACUCUCUAAACCCACCAAGGAUCUAGACAAAGUCGGGAGACAAAACUCCGACUGGGGACAAUACUGGACUUGCUUAUAUCUGCUUUAUAGUUGUAUUUGUAGCAUACAAUGUAUAUUUUGUCAAAUUUGAAUACUUCUUGUUUGCUUGUCUAUUAUUCUUUUGAUAGAAGAUACAACUUUCUUUAUUUGUAUGUCCAUAUAAUUUGUUACAUUCGAUCUGUGAACCAUAUUUGACCUUCAUAUUGUCAACCAUGCCACUUGUUCAAUGGAAAAUUACCUUUGUUGAUUUGUUCUUGGUUGACAUUAAGUUCAAGGUUCGAAUCAGGAAAACCAAUCUCUCUCCCCUUAUUAUAUUUAUGUAUAUACAUGUAUUUGACCUUCAUGUUUGUUGGUGAGAAAAUGGUACAGAGUAAAUUGAAUUUUGCUUUUUGUUUGGUGUGUUUCCUAGGGAAAGCUUUAUGGAAGCCAACAAGAAUGGAAAUUUGGUUGAUGUUGAUCGGAAGGCGUUCGAAACUUGGAAAAAAUGAGCGAGGAGGUAUAGGUCCCUUGCUCCUCCCACUUUGUCAUAACUUUUCAUUGGAAGUUUUCUGUUGUAAUUUUGUAUUGAGUAUCGUCCCGAGUAUUUUCUUUAAUAGGAGAGGAAACCAUAUGUUACUCAGCCUACAUGAAGGAUAUGACUGAAGCGGAUAAAAAUAUUGUAAAGGUAACUGGGAUUCAGAGUUUAUGGAUGCUAAUUUCGUAUAAUUUAAACUUUCUAGAGCGACCUAAAUAUGUUGUUGGUGUAAUUGGUGAAAUUGUUUGUUGUGCUUUCAUAGCAAUGCUGAUACAUUCUGAAUAUUUGAUCAUGGAACUUGUUCCGUAGAUUCUUAAUUCAGAACUAUGAAUAGGGGCAUACUAAGGCAUACUAAAGAUGCAUGAUUUUGAACUCAUGAUCCUCUCAUCUUUACAUAAUCUAUGUUGCCACUCGGUUUUCUCCCUAUCGUUGUCAAUUAUUGUCAUCACAAUUGCUUUUCAAUGAUUUUUUCAGUUAGAAUUAGUAUCUUUUCCUUGUUUUGUCCACAAAAGCAAGAAUGAUAUAUGAUAGCUGUGAUUUAUCUGACAAUUAGCUUCUCUAAAUCUUUCACCCUAAUCAAUUGUCAAAAAUUUGCUGUUCUAGUGCUUAUUGGCUUCUCGUUUUUAACUUGAAAGUUAACUUAUCUAUUGUUCAAACAUCAAAAUGGAACAAAGUUUUGCAUCAUAUUCGAAGUUAUUAAUGAGUUAUUUUCUUUAGGUGGAUGAUGAGGCUGAUUCAGCAAUGGUUGGGAAAUUUGAUGAGGUUUGUAUAUAUGUUUGGAGCACAAAAAACAUAGCAAAUAUAGAUAAAUUUACGUAUUGUAUAUCUACUUGUGCUUAAACUAAGUCAUUCCCCUGCCAGUUGAGGCUCUGAAACCUUUGGGCACUGAAGUUCGAGUUUCACUAUGUAAAUCAUGUGUUGGUUCUCCCCCAGAUUUAUUUUGUUUACUUAGUUAGAGUUGAGUUAGCUUCAGUGAAUGUAACGAUUGAUUAUGUUAGUUCCCCCCUCUUUUGCCACCUCUUCUUCGUUGAAUUUACAGUUCUAUGAAGAUUAUGGGUACUAUGAAACAUCUGAUGAUGAUGGUGAACCAUACCACUCUGGAGGAUUCAAGAGCUUAAACACAACUGAACAGUAAUCGAAGUCUUCCCCACAUUUCAGUUCAAUUACCUAACUUAACCGCAAUCAUAUAUUGUGCACAAGACCGAUAAGUUAUGGCUUUCAUGAAGCAGGGAAACUGCUAUCGAGGGCGGAACUUGAAGAUGUUCUGGUUUUUGUUUCAUGUCAAUGGACCUUAUCCAACUGGCAAUGGUGGAAAAAAAAAGUUUGCCAUUUUGAUUCAUUUGUUAAGGCAAAUCAUUUGGCUAUUGUAAAGUAGUUAUAGGGGUUUUAGCCUUCGAAGCAGAUUGGUAUUUGUUUUGCUAUUUGGCAGUGGCAGUGGCAAUGGCAAUGGGGGUUUCACAGGUGAGUGGCAAGGGCUAUAGAGGAAGCAUCAUUUUGUCUAUAUUUUUUUAGUUUUAUGGAAUUUGGUUGAUGGAAUAGGUGAUAUGUUGGGUUGGAUAAAAUAAUCUAUAUUUUAUUGAAGUUAUGUUUGUUUUUAUCUGUUAGAAAAUUGAAGAAUGAUAUUAGAAAAUAUUUAGUCAAAUAAUUUGUAUUAAUAAUAGUUAAUUAUGCCUUUGUGGCUAAGCUCAUGGAAAUCAUUUAAAAAUAAAAUCUAAUAAAUAAUUAAACAUAUGAUUUAAAAUUAAUAAUAAUAACAAAGUAAUAUGUACGAAAUUUAAAUAGGUAAAUACAUUUGAUUAAGCUUUAUGUUCUGUUCUAAAUUUGGUUUCUUAAUACUUCUUCUGAAUAAGUUGGUGUCGAGUUGAUUCAUGAUACCAAUUUAGUCACAUGGUUAAAUAACUAUAUAGAUACAAAAGUUAAAUAUUUAAGAUGAUUGAUGCCUUCUGAACAUAACACCAUUUAAAUUUAUAUAAAUGUAUGAAAAUACGAAAAAUACUCAAUAACAAUAUUUAUUAAUAAUUUAAAUUUUGAUUUUUUUUAGUUUUCUUUUAUUCAAUUGGUGUCAAGUUAAAUCGUGACGCUGAUUCAGUUACAAUAUAUAGAAUAUGACGUGAGUGACAGACCAAUUUUAUUUAAAAUUUUAAUAUAAAAUAACAAUAAAGGUUUGAUUGAAACGGAAAAAUUAAAGAUUUAAGUUGCUUGAUGUCUUAUGUAAAGGUUUAAAUCGCAUCAUUUGCUUAUUUCCUUAAGUUUAAGUUGUUCCUUAUAACUUUUAUAAAAAUGUGUGAAAAUACAAAAACACCCUAUGAUAAUGUUUAUUAAUUGUUUAAAAUUUGAGUUUUUAGUACUUCUCUAAUUAAAUUAGUGUCGAGUUGAUUCGUAACAUCAACUCAAUCACACUUAAAUUAAAGUUUCCAUACAUAGAACACCAGGUGGGUGAGAGUGAUAGACGAGAUUUAUGAAAAAAAUUCAUGUAAAAUAACAAUGAAGUUUCGGUUAAAAUAAUAAAUUUAAUUUGUAAUAUUUAUAAUGAUAAAUUUACACAGAAUACUUGCCAUUUGCAUAUUUUUUAUAAGUUUAUUUUAUUUUUUAAAAUAAAGUUUAUAUAAAGGUAUGAAAUGCAAAACUACCUUAUAAUAAUAUUUAUUAAUCGUUAAAAUUUUGAUUUUUUUAAUACUUUGUCUAAUCGAGUUGGUGUCGAGUUAGUCAAUGAUAUAAUUUAGACAUAUAAUUAGACAACAGUGUAAAAGUGUAGAUACAUAGAUCACAAUGCGCGUGAUAAGCAAAUUUUAUGUAAAAAAAAACUCAUAUAAAUAUUAUAUUAAUAGAUGAGAACAUCUGUAUUUAAUAAUUAGACAACAGUGUAAAAAUGUAGACACAUAGAUUACAAUGGGCGUGAUAAGCAAAUUUUAUGUAAAAAAACUCAUAUAAAUAUUAUAUUAAUAGAUGAGAACAUCAGUAUUUAAAAAAAAAAAUCCAGAAAGCUGAUUGCAUACCAAGGCUUGGAACAUGGCAAUCAUGGUACACAAAAAAGCCAAAAAAAAUUUAGCAAUAAGAUUUCAUAAAGAUAUAAAUUGUUUACAACAGUAAAUUAACACAAGAAAAUAAAAAUAAAACAAAGUAGAAAACUAACCCCCACCCCCAAUUUGCCGUCCACAGUAGUUGUGACCUUAUUAUAUAAUCUUCAAUCCUUAAUAAUCUAUACUAUAUAUAUAGAACACAGACACUUAAAACAUGCAAUAAGCAAACCAUGAUAAUGACCCAAAUUUUAUGUGAAAAUAUUAAACCAAGCAAGCAUCAUAAGCAACAAUCCCAUCCAUGAUCUUGGCCACACUAUCUUUGGACUCCUUUAACACCUUGAUGCUGUUUUUAAGCUUCUCACGCUUUGCAACAAUGGCAGGAGAUUCCACCAGCAUCAUCUUUAUCCCAUGUCCAUCUGGUCCCAUCAGCUCCUUCACAAUCUCAUCAAUGUCAUUGUGUACAAGAUUAUGAACAUGGUAUCGUAAAUGCAAUGCCAUGGAAUCAACCAAUCUCACCUUAAAUACCUUCCAAUAAGCAACCAUUCUCAUCUUCAGGUCGAAAGCUUGUUGCAGGAUCGAAACAUCCGAGUGUUUUCUGAGAUGUUCGAUUUGGAUUUCCCCUAAACCUUCGAGAUCCACACUGCAAGGCAGCGGCCGCAUGUUUGUUCCAGAUAUUUGGUUCAUGAAAUGGUCUUGUUGCUUCAUGAGCUUAUUCCACUCCAUCAUGUAAUCAGGGUUACAUGUGUAGCCUGUUAGCUUCUCCAUUUCUACAAUCUCUUUCACCCUAUUGAUUGAUUGCUCCCUCAGCUUUUGAACAAGGUUGUGAGCAGCUCCUUUUGCGGAUACCUUGAGGUGAUAAUACAUUUCCGAGUGGCGCGUCAAAACAGACAUCACCACAUCGUCUAUGUAAUCCCAAUACUUUUCGCUGAGUUUGAUAGGGAGAUACGAUAUCCUCUCGACUUUUCUCCGUAAGAUACGAAGGAAUGCUUCACAGGGAAGGAAGUUCGGUAGUUCGAUCCCCCUAGCAUCUUCCAAACCCUUGAUCUCUUCUGUUAAAAAGUCUUUUGAUAGAUUACUUUCCUCGCAGUUGUGAAGCUCAUCGGAGAACCGGUUCAGCAUUUCAACAAACCGAGCAGUCCCGUGCUUCGUGUUGUCCUCGGGGUAUUCAUCAAAUUCCCCCCUCCAAAGAAGUUUCUUCAGGGAUUCUUUAGCUGCUUGAAUGAUCCUCAUCAUAGCUUGAGUGGCAUCAGCAAUAGAAGUUAAGGCCUUUGGCAUUUUCUCUAGCUCUGAAACAUUUGCAUCCAGCUUUGCACUAAUGUUUUUAACAAUCUCUGGCAAGCACUUUGCAAUCGCAUUAGCUUGAAUUCGGACAAGAUUUUGAGCCAAAACAUGAACCCCCACAAUUGAUUUAUCAAUACGUGACAAAUGUGCAUUAGUUUCGAACAAUCUAGCCUCUUCCUUCCUUGCUUCUUCAUAGGAUUCAUCACCAAUCCGAUUCCGAACACAAACAUAACCAAGUCCUAUAUUCACAUCAUCUGCAGUAACCUUGUCAACAAGCCCUUCGGGGGCCCUAUCUACUUUAGUAACCACGGCAAGAGUUCUCUCACCAUUCUUGUCCACUUGUUGCGACAUCCUAAUGGAUUCACAAGUUGAAAAAUCAACCGUAGCCGACAGAACAUUAAGGAUAAUGCUUUCCUUUGGUGUUAUGUACUGCAUGAUGAUGUCCCGGAUCUGCUCAUAUAUGUUGUCGGGCUGACCAUGGACAGGAACUCUGGUAAUUCCAGGAAGAUCAACCAUGGUAAGAUCAGGAACCCCAUCUUUUCUCACCACCAAAGUCAAAGGGAUGUCAGAUAUGCUCUUACCCGGGCCUGCAACCUCAUCCGUUGCAAUGUUUAUGGCUGUUGCAAUCUGGGGUUCCUCCACUGGGACCGUUUUGCCAUUGUACUCCAAGUAGAGCUCUGGCCUUGGACUUGCAUGGUUCUGCAACCUGAUUAUGAGAGGUACCCUGGUGCAAAUGCCCUGGCUACGAGGAAGGUUAACACCAGCCAAGGAUUCAAGAACACUAGACUUGCCUGAUGACUGGUCUCCAACCACAACAAUUGUGGGGAGCUGUAUGCCUUCUUUCAUCACCAUGAGCAGCCUGAGCCUGUCGAUGACGUCAAGCAAAGGUCGGAUUUUGUCAUUGUAUGAUGAAAUAAUUGGGGCUUGAACUGCUGCUGCUCCCACCACCUUAGGUUCUUCCAUAGAAGGAGUUGCUGGUUGAGAAUCUUCAUAAUCAUUGAUGACACCAAUGGUCCCUGAAUCAGCUUCAUCAUAGCUUCCCAUUUUCUAGAAGUCGAGACAGGACGGGAAUUGGCCAAACUUGAUGUUUUAGAUGGUUUUUUUUGUUGGAAGUUGGAAAGCAAUAAACUUGAACUAAAGUGAAGACAAAUUCAAUGAAGCAUGUUUGGCUUUAUAAUGAAAAUUAAAAUAGGGUAAAGCACCAAAAAUAGGAACAAUAAAGCGAUAGCAUCCUAUACCAAACCCCAAGAAACAAGCAAAGGAAGCUAUAAUGGGAAUGGAAAACUUUAGGUUAUACUUUGAAUUGUAGAAAAUAAUGAUACAAGGACAGAAGAGAGGAAACAGAACAAAAUCAAAUCGUGACCGACCAAAAGAUGAGUGUGUCGAUGACAGAAAGUUCGAAACAUAAACAGCACCACUAGUUCCUACAGGAACUAGACAGCAGAACUAUAUGAAACAAUGUAUUCACAUUGAAGUUUCGGAGAGAUGCCACGUACAAGCCAUGUUGCCAUUAACUCAUAUGCUCUUUGUGCCAAAUGAGCUCCAUCCCAACUAAGCCGUUCAUUAGGGUUUUCGCAUACCGGUACUUUUGGAUCUCCGCACCAACUUAAUAAGCCAGAAUUGUAGUCCCCAAUUCCGCAGCAAGCUUUUUGCAAUGAUGUUGGAUCAAAACCUGAUGAGAUUUUUCGAAAACUCAGAACAUGACUAGAACCAUUCACAGUACGAUCUCAUAAACUUCUGGAUGCAAAUAAAUCAGACUUACCAAGCAGAUCAGCUUUGCUCAAAAGCCACAGGAAUGCAUUGUAGUAGUAACCGUAGACAACGAUUACAUCUUGAUGUUUUUCUUUUAGCUCAGCAAUAGCUUGUUGAAGAAGAUGACUAUGAUAGAUUGAAAAAUUAUUCUAACUCCUUUAAAAUUAUAUAUUUUAAUUUUAGCCUAAAAAAAAAAAUCUUGACUUGGUCCCUUUCGGGCAAAUUACACAUAAAAGCAUUAUUUUUUUAAAAUUUACGGAAAUAAGCUCGGUAUUUUAUUAUUUACUGGAAUGAGUCAUUUUCCCCAAAAUCGCGUCUACGUUAGCGCGAUGUCAGGGGACGUCAGCAAAUCGCGCCUCAAAAAAAAAAUCUUGACUUGGUCCCUUUCGGGCAAAUUACACAUAAAAGCCUUUUUUUUUUAAAUUUACCGAAAUAGGCCCGGUAUUUAUUAUUUACCGGAAUGGGCUAUUUUUCCCAAAAUUGCUUCUACAUCAGCGCGAUGUCAAGGGACGUCAGAAAAUCGCGUCCUCGUAGGCACAAUUUGCUGACGUGGAAGCAAAUCGCGCUAACGUGGACGCGAUUUGCGCCGCACGUGAACAGUACCCUCCGGUCAAAAAAUUGACCGUUUAUGUUUUUUAGCUUGGAAAACUUUGAAAUGCCAUAACUUUUCGCUCGGUUGUUCGAUUGAGAUGAUUUUUUUUAUUUCGAAUAACUUUUCGAGAUCUACGCGCUGACGGUUGAGACGAUUGAGGCGGUUUGCCGCAGUUUUCGUCGAAAAAGAUCCUUUUUUACCUCUAAAUUUUUAUUUUUUUCGGUUUAAAAUUAAAUUUUGAAACAUUCAAAUCAUUAUUUUCCUUAUUUAUUUGAAGUAAACACCGGAUUUUUUUUACAAAAUUAUUGUAUUAUUUUUUCUGAUUUGACACGUGUAUGGAAUAGGUCCGAUAAAUCAUUAAAACGUAAGUAAUAUAAUUAAGAUAAUAACAGUAUUUUUAUAAUAUGUUAAUUAAUUAGUUUAGCUUAGUUGGUUAAUAUGCUUGCUUUUUUCCUUUAGUACCUUGGUUCAAAUCUUGUUGGUAAUAAUUUUGAAUCUUUUUUGUACUUGUUGCAUUUAUUUUUUUAAUCAAUUAACUCUUCAAUAUUACAUUAAUAUAUAUUAUUAGUACAAUAAUAUAGACAGAUUGACAAUUUGAGCUACAAUAUUAUGAAUAUUAACUACAAUACAUAAUUUGAGCUACAUAUUACAGUAAUACAUAUUGGGCAAAAUACCAAAAAACCCUAUUUUUUUAAAAUUUACCGAAAUGGGCCCGAUAUUUUAUUAUUUAUCGAAAUGGGUCAUUUUCCCCGAAAUCGCGUCCACGUCAGCGCGAUGUCAUGGGACGUGUCAGAAAAUCGCGUCCUCGUAGGCGCGAUUUGUGUUCACAUAAGCAAAGCGCGCUGACGUGGACGCGAUUUUCUAACACGUCCCCUGAUAUCGCGCUGACGUGGACGCGAUUUAAGGGAAAAUGGCCUAUUCCGGUAAAUAAUAAAAUACCGGGUCCAUUUCGGUAAAUUUAAAAAAAAUAGGGUUUUUUUGGUAUUUUACUCGUCCCUUUCGCAUACCUACUCUAAGACAAAAAAAAUCAUUUUAUUUAAGCUUUUUGUUUAUUAAUAAUUUUUUUUUCAAUGUGAUUCAUUAAAUACAAUUAAAAAUAUUUGGAAGAGAAAUCUAGUCGUAGACUAGAUAGUUAAGAUAAUAUCUAACAGAGAGGUCGAUGUUCGAGUGUUUGUUGAAGUUCUUACGUAACUUUUAACAAUUUUACUGAUAACACUCUAGAAUACGUAUUUUUAUAUAUUAAUUAUGUAUUUAUUCUAAGAAUGAUGCUACUAAUUUGAGCUAUUUAUGAUCUUUUAUCUCAUAAGGACUAAAUUUGAGGUAAAAACAAAAUUAAUGGCCAAGAACGUGAAUUUAGAGAUACAAUAGGCCAAUGUGCUACACAAGAAAAAGUUGUUGCCAAAAGUGCAAGUGUGGAGGACACAAGGGUUGAGAUGCAAAAAGAAGAGAUUUUAUUCUAUCAGACUCUAUUUUAAUUAUAUUAGGAUAAUUAAUAUUAAGAUAAUUAUUAAAGAUUAUUUAAUUUUAGGAUUUAAUUUUAUUUAUCUUUAUUUAUCUUUAAUUAAAUGUAUUUAUCGUUUGGCAAUUUAAGUAGGAUUAGACUAUCUCCCCUAGCACUAUAAAUAGGGGUGAAGUGAGUCAAAAGAGGAUCCAUCUUUUUUGUAAACACUCUCUCCUCAAAAGUCUAGGCUUUUGUUCUUCUCAUAUUUCAUUUAAAUAAAAUCUCAAUUUUUAUUUAUUUUCUUUUCUACCACAAUCAUGAGCCACUAAACCUAUCUAGCCAAAGGUUGUCGAAAAUCUCCAAAAUAGUUUAUGAGGCUUAGAAUUCGUACUUAGCUUUCUCAAUGAGUGUUCAUCGUUUCUCUGCACUACGAGACUGACGCUUUCGUCGAUGUCCCUUAAGAAGUAAGCUUUUCAAUGUAUGCAAAGGUGGCCACUUUGUAUGUUUUGGGAAAGUUGCACAGUCGGUUUGUAAAAUAGGGUAAAGCACCAAAAAUAGGAACAAUAAAGCGAUAGCAUCCUAUACCAAACCCCAAGAAACAAUCAAAGGAAGCUACAAUGGGAAUGGAAAACUUUAGGUUAUACUUUGAAUUGUAGAAAAUACAUCUUAUAUUCCGUAUUGGAUUGUAGAAAAUAAUGAUACAAGGACAGAAGAGAGGAAACAGAUCAAAAUCAAAUCGUGACCAACCAAAAGAUGAGUGUGUGGAUGACAGAAAGUUCAAAACAUAAACAGCCCCACUAAUUCCUACAGGAACUAGACAGCAGAACUAUAUGAAACAAUGUAUUCACAUUGAAGUUUCGGAUAGAUGUCACGUACAAGCCAUGUUGCCAUUAACUCAUAUGCUCUUUGUGUCAAAUGAACUCCAUCCCAACUAAGCCGUUCAUUAGGGUUUUCGCAUACCGGUACUUUUGGAUCUCCGCACCAACUUGAUAAGCCAUAAUUGUAGUCUCCCCCAAUUCCGCAGCAAGCCUUUUGCAAUGAUAUUGGAUCAAAACCUAAUGAGAUUUUUCGAAAACUCAGAACAUGACUAGAACCAUUCACAGUACGGUCUCAUAAACUUAUGGAUGCAAAUAAAUCAGACUUACCAAGCAAUCAGCUUUGCUCAAAAGCCACAGGAAUGCAUUGUAGUAGUCACCGUAGACAACGGUUUCAUCUGGAUGUUCUUCUUUUAGCUCAGCAAUAGCUUGUUGAAGAAGAUAAUUAUGAUAGAUUGAAAAAUUAUUCAACUCCUUUAAACAAUGAAGUUCAUCAUAAGCAGUAGAAUCAUCUGUUUGGUAUUUGGUGAGAUAUACAGGAAAGCAGCCUAUGGGGAAGUUUCCAGGAACAACUAACCGAGUAGCACCAUAUCCGAUAACUCUCUACACAGUGGAACUUAUGAGAAACAGGGUUUCAAUGAUUAGAAGUGAUAUAAUCAGAUGUCUCUUGAAAGAAAACUUACUUUGGUAGCUUGUUUUAUCGUUUCUACUACCUCGGGCACCAUGGUCUUAACCUCUUCUAUGGUUUUUCCUUGCCAAAAGGCGUAGUUAUAGUCAUUUCCUCCUAUCUCCCCAACCAUGAAAAGAGCUUUCCCAUUUUUCUUGAAGCAAUCUACCAAAUAUAACACCUCAAGUGGUUAUUUGUGUUAAUCCAUUCUGAACAUCGUUAUUAUACCUGAUUACCUAACCAGGAGGCCUCAUUAGACCAACCGCUCCAUCAUGGAGGUCUCGCCUGCAUGAUAGCUCAACCAACUAAAGACACUCAUGUGCCUUGUCACACGAGCCACCACAAGGUCAUAUCAAGAUCCACUCAGGACCUGCUCCUGUCACAUCUAGUACAGGCUCUAUCACUCGACCAUUAAGUCUACAAGAAUAAUCUAUCUUCAACCUCUGCUAGCAGCUCUUGACACUCACGUGUGAGCCACCUUCAACCUCUUCCACCACAUCCUAUAUCAACAAACAUAUAUAUAUGUUGUGCGGAAGCGUGUAAAAGAGUAAAAUUAUUGUAUUAAAAAAUCACACUAAGUUCAAUUCCCAGGAAAGAGAGGUGGAUCACAAGGAUCGCUUAAGUACCAGGUCUUUCCUAGCCAGAAUAUCCCUCAAUCGUAAUUUAAUAGCACAAUAAAUCACUACAAUCACACACACAAUUCAUGCAGAAUAAUACAAUAAAGAACACAAGAAUUUAACGAGGUUCAGCAAAUUUUGCCUACGUCCUCGGGCACUACCAAAUAUAUUUCACUCCAAAAUACAAGUGAGAAUUUACAAAGAGAGAGAGAGAAAACAAUGCCUUAAGUAGAGAAUGGCAAGUUUGAGAUACAGAAUGAGAGAUGGUUAUGCCUAUUUAUAGUUGAGGUUCAGGGAUCAACUUGCAAAGUCACUUUACAAUUAGGGACCAUAUAUUACAAAUAUCUCAGAUUUUAUUAUGCCAAUAUCUCGAUACCCAUAUCUUUGACUUUCCAAUAUUUGAUACCCAUAUCUUUGACUUAUUAUUUGAUACCCAUAUCUUUGAUUUUCCAUAAAUAUGGAUAAUUCCCAAUAAUCUCCACCUUGAAGAUUUGAUUCGAGUAAUCUUAUCUUCACACAAUUCUCUCUGCCUUUGUCAACAACACUUGAUAGUGCCUUCUUCAACUGUUAAACAUGCAGAAUAUUGAUCAAGUUCAAACAAUGUUCGAACUUGAUUGUUGUUACCACCUUGGUCAUCAUAUCUGCGGGAUUAUCUGCAGUCUUAAUCUUCUGAAGGUGAAUUUUCCCCUCAUCAAUAAUUUCCCGCACAAAGUGGAAACGUACGUCGAUAUGCUUUGUACGUGCAUGAUAGACUUGAUUCUUUGCUAAAUGAAUAGCACUUUGACUAUCACAAUACACAUUAAUAUGCUCCUGGACCAAUCCCAAGGUUUUAACCAUACCUUGUAACCAAAUAGCUUCCUUUACAGCCUCUGUUACAGCCAUGUAUUCAGCUUCUGUGGUUGACAACGCAACUGUAGACUGCAGUGUAGACUUCCAACUUAUUGGUCCUCCAGCAAGAGUAAACACAUAACCAGUGGUUGAUCUUCGUUUGUCCAAAUCACCGGCAUAAUCAGAAUCAACGUACCCAACAACACCUUUACCAAGUGUAGUAUCCUGCUUGAACAGUAAUCCAAUAUCCAUGGUCUUAUGAAUAUACCGUAGAAUCCAUUUCACAGCUUGCCAAUGUCCUUUUCCAGGAUUAUGCAUAUACCUGCUCACUAUACUAACUGCUUGUGAAAUGUCGGGUCUUGUACACACCAUUGCAUACAUCAAGCUACCUACUGUAUUAGAAUACGGAACUUGUAACAUGUAUUCUUGUUCCGUAUUUGUCGAAGGAGAUAGUUGAGCAGAAAGCUUGAAAUGAGAAGCCAACGGAGUACUUACAGCUUUAGUCUGCUCGUUCAUGCCAAACUUCUGUAGUAUCUUCUUUAAAUAUUGCUUCUGAGAUAAACUAACUCUGCCAUGAGCUCUAUCCCUACAUAUUUCCAUGCCAAGGAUCUUCUUAGCUUCACCUAGAUCUUUCAUCUCAAACUCAAGGUUGAGUUGAGUCUUCAAUCUCUCAAUUUCAACUUUACUCUUAGAUGCUAUCAACAUAUCAUCAACAUAUAAGAGCAAGUAUACGAAAAAUCCUUCUUGUAGCUUCUGAAAAUACACGCAAUGAUCAAAUUUACUUCUUGUAUACCUUUGCCCUUUCAUGAACUGAUCAAAUCGCUUGUACCACUGCCUUGGAGAUUGUUUCAAUCCAUAAAGCGACUUUGUCAGUUUGCAAACCUAAUUUUCUUUAUCAGCAACCUUGAAUCCAUCUGGCUAAGUCAUAUAGAUUUCCUCUUCCAAAUCACCGUGUAAAAAUGCGGUCUUCACAUCGAGUUGAACUAGUUCAAGAUCAUAUUGCGCAACCAAGGCUAGCAAAAUCCGAAUAGACGAAUACUUCACAACUGGAGAAAAUACUUCAUUGUAGUCUAUUCCUUCUUUCUGAGCGUAACCCUUUGCUACCAAUCUAGCCUUGUAUCGAACUUCAUUUUUAUCAGGAAAUCCUUCCUUCUUUGCAUAUACCCAUUUGCAUCCAAUUGCCUUCUUUCCUUUAGGUAGUGUCACCAACUCCCAAGUCCUAUUUUUAUGAAGAGACUGCAUUUCUUCAUUCAUAGCUUGCUUCCACUUUACACUAUCAGAGUUACUUCUUGCUUCUGUGUAAGUAGAAGGAACAUCAUCAUCUACAAUUGGAAGUGCUUAGGCCACCAUAUCAUCAAAGCGAGCAGGCAUACGAAUCUCUCUUCUUGGCCUUCUAUAUGCAAUUGAAUCAUGUUGCUAUAGAAGUUCUUGGGUCGAAACUUCUUCAUCAUUUGUUCCUUCAAUAUUAGCUGGAUCAUCAUUAACCUUUUCAAGCUCCACCUGCUGCAAAGUGCCACUAGUUGUGUUAUCCUUUUGUGAAUCAUUGUUCUUCAUCAUGGUUGAUUCAUCAAAAGUCACAUCUCUACUGAAAAUUAUUUUCCUUGUAUCAGGACACCAGAGACGGUAUCCUUUUUCUCCACCAGUUAUACCCAUGAAUAAUGCUUUCUUUGCUCUUGGGUCUAACUUAGAUUCUUUUACAUGAUAAUAUGCAGUGGAACCAAAAAUAUGUAAAGAAUCAUAAUCAGUAGCAGGUUUACCAGCCCACCUCUCCAUAGGAGUUUUUCCAUUUAUUGCAGCUGAUGGCAACCGAUUAAUUAGAUGGCACGCAUAUGUAACUGCCUCAGCCCAAAAUUCUUUGCCCAAUCCAGCAUUGGACAACAUACAUCGAACUUUCUCCAGUAUAGUCCGAUUCAUACGUUCUGCCACCCCAUUCUGUUGUGGUGUAUCUCGAACAGUGAAGUGUCGUACAAUACCUUCAUCGUGACAUACUUGUAGAAAUGGAUCAUUCUUGUACUCAGUACCAUUGUCUGAUCGAAGUCGUUUGACUUUUCGACCAGCCUGGGUCUCCACCAUCUUCUUCCAUUUCAGAAAUACAUCCAAAACUUCAUUUUUCCUUUUCAUUAGAUACACCCAUACUUUUCUUGAAUAAUCAUCAACAAAAGUAACAAAAUAGUGCAUACCUCCCAAAGAAGCCACUUUAGUAGGUCCCCACACAUCACUGUGAACGUAGUCCAGAAUUUCUUUUGUAUUGUGAAUUGCUGAACCAAAUUUUAUCCUCGUCUGCUUGCCCAGAACACAAUGUUCACAGAAUUCCAAUUUUCAAGAAUUUGCACCUUUCAACAAGCCUUGCUUCGCCAAACUCUGCAAAGCUUUUUCACCAGCAUGUCCCAAUCGCAUAUGCCAUAACCUGGUAGCCUCUGAAUCUGCAUCUUUCGUAAAAGCUGUUGAUGUUGAUCCAAUAACUGUACUUCCAUUUAAAUAGUACAGAUUAUUCCUUCUUGUGCCUUUCAUCACCGUCAAUAUCCCUGCUACUACCUUUAGUAAUCCAUCUCUCAAAGUGAUUGUGAGCCCUUUAGAUUCUAGGACCCCUAAUGAGAUAAGAUUUUUCUUCAAGCUAGGUAUGUAGCGAACAUCUGUCAAGACUUGAAUUGAGCCGUCGUGAUUCUUCAAUUAGAUUGUACCUACUCCCAUUGUCUUACAAGCGCUAUCAUUGCCCAUAAAAACAACUCCACCUUCUAGUUCUUUAAGACUAGAAAACCAGUCCUUAUUAGGACACAUAUGGUAAGUACAUCCCGAAUCCAAAAUCCACUCAUCUGUAUGACAUGCCAUUGCCAUGCCAACCAAGCUAAAGUCUGACUCCUCAUCAUGCUCCGCUACACAUGCAUCAAAAAUAGCUUUACCCUUUUGUAACUUAGGACAAUUCUUUUUCCAAUGCCCUUUCUCACGACAAAAAGCACAUUCAUCUUUGGCAGGUCUCCCUUUGGACUUACUCCUUCUACCAGAUUUGUUGCUGCGCGAACGAAUUCUUACUGUUAAGACUUCUGUAGUUGUAUCUCUGUGAUCUUUUUUAUCUUUCUUUCGAGUCUCAGAUCUAUACAACGCACUACAGACUGCAUCAAAUGUGAUUGUAUCCUUCCCAUGAAGCAAUGUGGUGGUAAGAUGAUCAUAUUCAUCAGGAAGAGAAUUCAACAACAGUAAUGCCUUGUCUUCAUCUUCAAAUUUCUCAUCCAAAUUUAGCAAGUCUGCUAAAAUUUUAUUGAAUGAGUUCACAUGGUCAUUCAUCGACAUACCGGGUGCAUACGUAAAUCGAUAAAGUUUCUUUUUCAUAUAAAGCCUAUUUUUAAGACUUUUUGUUAGAAACUUUUCUUCUAGUGUAUCCCACAACUUCUUCGCUGAUGUCUCCCUCAUGACAGAGUGCUUCUACUCUUUGGCCAAACAUAGGCGAAUUGUUCCAUAUGCCUGUCUAUUGAUCUUGGCCCACUCCUUGUCAUCCAUUUUGUCAGGUUUUUCUUUAAGGGCUAUAUCCAGCUCUUGCUGACAUAAGACAUCCAGGAUCUCACAUUGCCACAUACCAAAAUUAUUGGUACCAUCAAAUUUCUCUACUUCAAAUUUCGCAUUGGUCACAGUAGUCUUUAACGAUGACUUUUCCAUUUUUUUUCUCCUCAAUCCCAACUACAGUACGUGAACAGUGCCGUGAACGAUCGUAUUCCCCAAGUACGAAUCUAGCUCUGAUACCAAUUGUUGUGCGGAAGCGUGUAAAAGAGUAAAAUUAUUGUACUAAAAAAUCACACUAAGUUCAAUUCCCAGGAAAGAGAGGUGGAUCACAAGGAUCGCUUAAGUACCAGGUCUUUCCUAGCCAGAAUAUCCCUCAAUCAUAAUUUAAUAGCACAAUAAAUCACUACAAUCACACACACAAUUCAUGCAGAAUAAUACAAUAAAGAACACAAGAAUUUAACGAGGUUCAGCAAAUUUUGCCUACGUCCUCGGGCACUACCAAAUAUAUUUCACUCCAAAAUACAAGUGAGAAUUUACAAAGAGAGAGAGAGAAAACAAUGCCUUAAGUAGAGAAUGGCAAGUUUGAGAUACAGAAUGAGAGAUGGUUAUGCCUAUUUAUAGUUGAGGUUCAGGGAUCAACUUGCAAAGUCACUUUACAAUUAGGGACCAUAUAUUGCAAAUAUCUCAAAUUUUAUUAUGCCAAUAUCUCGAUACCCAUAUAUUUGACUUUCCAAUAUUUGAUACCCAUAUCUUUGACUUAUUAUUUGAUACCCAUAUCUUUGAUUUUCCAUAAAUAUGGAUAAUUCCCAAUAAUAUAUAUAUAGGAAAGAUGCUAACCUUUGUUACCACGACAAGUUGUAUUGAAAUAGCUAAACAUCCAGUCAAGUUGUCUACUUAAAGAUAUGCUGGUAGGCACAAAGGAAACAUUCCACUUGGCUAAAUCUUCUGCAGACAUGGCAGUAGCUCCGGCAAACGCGAAAUUAAGCCCAUAAUCAAAUAAUCCAUCUUUGUUUAAGUAAGGAUCAAGAAAAGGAAUUCCAGCAGAUAGUGCUGUUCAAAUGUUCAAAACACGAAACAGUAAACACACUGGUUAAAAAAAAGUUAAUUAAACCAACAAAAAUCAAUACAAAUAUAAUCAUUAAUCAUCUUCCUAAACCUUUCUAGUAUGGGGUUGACACUUUUUUAGAGAAAAAAGAGAUUGAUUCUUCUCCAAGCAAUGCACCCAACGUGUAUGGUCUCAGUGAAGCUUUUGAUUAGAAUUUAGUAUUUUACCUAUAUAAUCAAUCAUCAACAAACCAUCGGAGCAUCUCCCAGUUGCUUUCUUGAAGGUUUCUCCAUAUGGUAACCUUGCAAAUUUUGAUGAAGGGUUGUCUUGCACAUCAUUACCCGUAUCUGCUAUGGAAUCCCCGAGCUGAUAUAUGGCAUCGAAAUUGUAGCUGCUAAGGAUAUGUUGAUUGUUGCAUGUAACGAAGUUGAAGAAAGAGAUGAUAAUUAGUAUAGAGAACACAAAACCUGGUGGUGAAGAUUUACUAGAAGCCAUAUAUGGAGAAAUGGUAUUACUGGGUAUUUAGCAUCUAAAUCUUAGCUCCCCCUAAAAAGGUAUAUAGUUGUGCUCCUACAGGUAGCUUUGAAUCAGGGACGGCACCAAAGGGGCAGUCAAAGGCCUUAGCACCCCCCAAACGAAAAAUUAUUAUUUUAGUCCCUUGAAAUUUUUUAAAUUAUAAGUUAGGUAAAAAUACACUUUGACCCCACAAGAUGAUUUUUUUUAAUUUAAUUCUUUUAAGAUUAUAAAUAACAAACAUAUAGAAAGAUAAAAUUAUAUUUUAACCUUUUUAAAAUUAUAUAAUUUAAUUUUAGCCUCAAAAAUAAAGUCUUGACUUGGUCCCUUUCGUAUACCUACUCUUAGACAAAAAAAAAUCAUUUUAUUUAAGCUUUUUGUUUAUUAAUAAUGAGUUUUUUUUCUCAAUGAUUCAUUAAAUACAAUUAAAAAAUAUUUGGAAGAGAAAUCUAGCAGUAGACUAGAUAGUUAAGAUGAUAUCUAACAGAGAGGUCGAUGUACGAGUGUUUGUUGAAGCUCCUAUGUAACUUUUAACAAUUUUACAAACUGAUAGAGGUAAUGGUUUCUUUGAUCAUUUAUUUUUAAUACGAGUAAAGAAACCUAAUUAUUUAAUUAUGGGUAAAAUACACAAGGAGUCACCCAACUAUGAAGAGUUAAAAAAAAGACAAUGGUGGUAACUUUUAAAAUUAGCAUAAUAGCAAUUUAACCCUUAACGUUUAUAUAUUGUAUCAAUCUAGUCUUGAUUCUAUUUUUUUUUAACUCUCAACAUUUACACAUUGUAUAAUUUAGUCUUUCUUUUUUAAUUUUGUUUUUCUUUGUGACAUUGAGGGUUAAUUUUAAAAGAAAAAGAAAAGAUAAAAAGUAUUAUCUUGGAUUUCUGGGUGCUCCUAUUUUUUUUAUAUAUUUUUAAUCAAAUUUAACUGAUAAAUUUAUUUUUAACUUUUUAGUUAAAAGAGUAAAGAAAAACAAAGUUGUACAAAAAAAAAAUCAAACUACGCAAUGUAUAAAUGUUGAGAGUUAAUUGUUUGAGGAAACAAGAUUAAAUUGACAUAAUUUAUAAAUAUUAAGGGUUAAAGUUGAUAUUAUGCUAAUUUUAAAAGUUGCCAUUGAUGAUCAGUGACCAAAAAAGACAAAAGCGAAUAAUUUAGUGAUCAUUUUGUAACUUUUUAUAAUUAAAUGACAAAAAAAUUACGUAAUUUAAUCUUUAAUUAUUUGUUUUGGACAUUGAUUAUUUAAUAACUAAUAACAUUCAAUAAUUGACGUUAAAAAAUUGUUUGUAUGAUGAAGUCAUUGUCAUCACCCAAAAGAUGUACAUAUAAAAGGAGUCACAAUCGGCCUCUACCAAAUUGAUUUUAGAAAGUAGACGCUAACUAUUUGAAAUAUAAUUGUUGUAUCUUAAUUUAUAAGUUAUUAUAUUAUUAUAUAAGCAUAAUUUUCUUUUGGUAGAUAAAGAUUAUUUCUUUCUAAAUAAUCUUUCAAAGUUAUUAAAUAAUCGUUGAAUUUUUUUGUAAUUUGGAGUACAAAAUUAAGUGAAUGUUAACGUGUUUGAGGCGAAUCUCGAUGAACAUGUCAUGCAAAUGCAACGCAUAGCUAAAGGAGUAGAUAAGAGCUUUAGACCUCUUAAAUGUCAGUUGUUCAAUUUAGUUCCUUUCUAGCUUUUAUUUAAAUGGAACAAUUGUAAUUUACACCCUUUUCAAAUGUUUAAAUUUAAUUUGGGUUAUUCUAAUGUAAAAAGUUUUAGCUUUGUCCCCUAUUUUUUUUAAUUUUACUCUUGGCUCUUCAUCACAUAAUUCAUGACUUCGCCUGAUACUGUGAGACCCAAUGUUAAUAUUUUAAGUAUUCAAAUCUCGGAUCGUUUAUGAACAAAAUUUUGAAAGAAAGAUGAUGGAAUAUUGACCUUGUAGCUGUAUAAGAGCUAGAAAGUAAUAUUAUAAAAAGAUUGGAGAUUAUAAGUUAAACACUUGGAAUUAUCGAAAAGUUGUUGCAGGAAGUUCGGUAGUUUGAUCGCCUUAGCUAACCUUCAAAGAUUCUUCAUCAAUUUAGACACCGAAAUCCCCACACUGUCAGAUUCGCUUUGAAAGAAGAGUAUGUGAAAUCCAUUAUACUCUAGAGCUCUCAAAGGGGCCAUGCAAAGAGGCUUCGAAAGAAAAUUGCAUGAAGUUCCCACAAUGUGUCAUUGGUUUCAUUAUGAUAUUUUAACCUUUAAUCAUUUUAUUUUAUAUAAAAAAAUUUGAACUGAUAAAAAAUUGAUUUCAAAUUAUUUCUAUUUUUAUUUUUCAAUUUUUAGUGUCAUUAUUAAUUUUUGUGUAAUUCAAUUGUUAAAGUAUGUAGUUUGAUACAUAAUUAUUGUUGUUAAUUUAGGAUAGCCAUGAAUGGGAUGCAUUGAGUUUGAAAUAUUUUAAGUAAAUUAUCAAAUUUUAUAAUAUUAGUUAAAAUUAAAAGAAUAUAUAUUUACUCCUUUUUUUUUCUCUUUGUAUCUUGAUUUGUGGAUUAGGUAACGAAUAUUGGUGUCCAAUUAUGUUAUGAUAAUAUAUACUUUUUUUUAUACAAUUUCUAGAAGUACCUGUAGCCUCUCUUAAGCCAUAAAUAGAAGGAUGAUAUGCUUCAGCGCACAAAAACUUACGUUUUCCUACAUUAGCAAUUGAGUUAAAACUCGAUCGGUAAGAUUUUAAAGAAAACAAAAUAAAUAAAAACUAAUCCCCCAAUUUACCGUCCACAGUAGUUCUGACAUUAUUAUAUGAUCUUCAAAUCUUUAUAAUCUAUACUAUAUAUAUAGAAUACAGACACUUGCAGCAUGUAAUAAAGCAAACCAUGAUGAUGACCUAAAUUUUAUGUGAAAAUAUUAAACCAAGUAAGCAUCAUAAACAACAAUCCUGUCCAUGACCUUGGCCACACUAUCUUUGGACUCCUUUAACACCUUGAUGCUGUUUUUAAGAUUCUCACGCUUUGCAACAAUGGCAGGAGAUUCCACCAGCAUCUUCUCCAUCCCAUGUCCAUCUGGUCCCAUCAGCUCCUUCACAAUCUCAUCAAUGUCAUUGUUUACAAGAUUAUGAACACAGUAUUGUAAAUGCAAUGCCAUGGAAUCAACCAAUCUAACUUUAAAUAUCUUCCAAUAAGCAACUGUUCUCAUCUUCAGAUCGAAAGCUUGUUGCAGGAUCAAAACGUUGGAGUGUUGUCUGAGAUGUUCGACUUGGAUUUUUCCGAAACCUUGGACUUCCCUGAGACAUUGGAUUUCUCUGAAACCUUGGAGAUCCUCAGGGUAAGGUGGCAACAUCAUGUCUGUUCCAGUUAUUUGGUUUAUGAAAUAGUCUUGUUGGUUCAUGAGCUCAUUCCACUCCCUCAUGUAAUCAGGGUUACAUGUAUAGCCUGUUAGUUUCUCCAUUUCUACAAUCUCUUUCACCCUAUUGAUUGAUUGCUCCCUCAGCUUUUGAACAAGAUUGUGAGCGGCUCCUUUCGCCGAUACCUUGAGCUGAUAAUACAUUUCCGAGUGGCGCGUCAAAACAGACGUCACCACAUCGUCUAUGUAAUCCCAAUACUUUUCGGUGAAUUUGAUAGGGAGAUACGAUAUCCUCUCGACUUUUCUCCGGAAGAUACGAAGGAAUGCUUCACAGGGAAGGAAGUUCGGUAGUUCGAUCCUCUUAGCAUCUUCCAAACCCUUGAUCUCUUCUGUUAAAAAGUCUUUCGACAGAUUACUUUCCUCGCAGUUGUGAAGUUCAUCGGAGAACCGGUUCAGCAUUUCCACAAACCGAGCAGUCCCGUGCUUCGUGUUGUCCUUGGGGUAUUCAUCAAAUUCCCAUCUCCAAAGAAGUUUCUUGAGGGAUUCUUUAGCUGCUUGAAUGAUCCACAUCAUAGCUUUAGUUGCAUCAGCAAUUGAAGUUAAGACCUUUGGCAUUUUCUCUAGCUCUGAAACAUUUGCAUCCAGCUUUGCACUAAUGUUUUUAACAAUCUCUGGAGAGCACUUUGCGAUUUCAUUAGCUUGAAUUUGAACAAGCUUUUGAGCCAAAACAUGAACACCCACAAUUGAUUUAUCAAUACAUAACAAAUGUGCAUUAGUUUCGAACAAUCUAGCCUCUUCCUUCCUUGCUUCUUCAUAGGAUUCAUCACCAAUCCGAUUCCGAACACAAACAUAUCCAAGUCCUAUAUUCACAUCAUCUGCAGUGUUGCGCGGAAGCGUGUGAAAGAGUAAAAUUAUUGUACUGAAAAAUCACACUAAGUUUAAUUCCCAGGAAAGAGAGGUGGAUCACGAGGAUCGCUUACAUACCAGAUCUUUCCUAGCCAGAAUAUCCCUCUAUCGUAAUUUAAUAGCACAAUAAAUCACUACAAUGACACUUGCAAAAAUAUGCAGAACAAAAAAUAAAGAACACUAGAAUUUUAACGAGGUUCAGCAAAUUUUGCCUACGUCCUCGGGCACUACCAAAUAUAUUUCACUCCAAAAAUACAAGUGAAAGUUUACAAAUAGGGAGAGAGAACAAUUGCCUUAAGUAGAGAAUGGCAAGUGUGGGAUGAAGAAAGUAAGAAAUGGUUAGGCCUAUUUAUAGUUGAGGUUUAAGGAUCAACUUGCAAUGUCCCUAUACAAUUAGGGACCAAAAUUACAAUUAUCCCAUGCCAACUAAUCUUACUUUCUACUUUCGGUGCCUUUCGGUGCCAACUUUCUGUCACUAUUCAUCUUUGAAAAGUCAAAGAUUGUAGGUAUCCAAUAAUCUCCACCUUGAAGAUUUGAUUAGGAUAAUCUUAUCUUCACACAAUUCUUUCUACCUUUGACAACAAUACUUGAUAGUGCCUUCUUCAACUGUUAAACUUGCAGGAUAUUGAUCAAGUUCAAACAAUGUUCGAACUUGGUUGUUGUUACCACCUUGGUCAUCAUAUCUGCGGGAUUAUCUGCAGUCUUGAUCUUCUGAAGACAAAUUUUCCCCUCUUCAAUAAUUUUCCACACAAAAUGGAAUCGUACGUCGAUAUGUUUUGUACGUGCAUGAUAGACUUGAUUCUUUGCUAAAUGAAUAGCACUUUGACUAUCACAAUACACGUUAAUAUGCUCCUGAACCAACCCCAAGGUUUUAGCCAUACCUUGUAACCAAAUAGCCUCCUUUACAGCCUCUGUUACAGCCAUGUAUUCGGCUUCUGUGGUUGACAAUGCAACUGUAGACUGUAGUGUAGACUUCCAACUUAUUGGUCCUCCAGCAAGUGUAAACACAUAACCGGUGGUUGAUCUUCGCUUGUCCAAAUCACCGGUAUAGUCAGAAUCAACGUACCCAAUAACACAUUUACCAAGUGUAUUAUCCUGCUUGAACAGUAAUCCAACAUCCACGGUCUUCUGAAUAUACCGUAGAAUCCAUUUCACAGCUUGCCAAUGUCCUUUUCCAGGAUUAUGCAUAUACCUGCUCACUAUACUAACUGCCUGUGAAAUGUCGGGUCUUGUACACACCAUUGCAUACAUCAAGCUACCCACUGCAUUAGAAUACGGAACUUGCAACAUGUAUUCUCGUUCCGUAUUCGUCGAAGGAGAUAGUUGUGCAGAAAGCUUGAAAUGAGAAGCCAACGGGGUACUUACAGGUUUGGUCUGCUCGUUCAUGCCAAACUGCUGUAGUACUUUCUUCAAAUACUGCUUCUGAGACAAGCUAACUCUGCCAUGAGCUCUAUCUCUACAUAUUUCCAUGCCGAGAAUCUUUUUAGCUUCUCCUAGAUCUUUCAUCUCAAACUCGAGAUUGAGUUGAGUCUUCAAUCUUUCAAUCUCAACUUUGCUCUUAGAUGCUAUUAGCAUAUCAUCAACAUAUAAGAGCAAGUAUAUGAAAGUUCCUUCUUGUAGCUUCUGAAAAUACACGCAAUGAUCAAAUUUACUUCUUGUGUACCUUUGCCCUUUCAUGAACUGAUCAAAUCGCUUGUACCACUGCCUCGGAGAUUGCUUCAAUCCAUAAAGCGACUUUGUCAGUUUGCAAACCCAAUUUUCUUUUCCAGCAACCUUGAAUCCAUCUGGCUGAGUCAUAUAGAUUUCCUCUUCCAAAUCACCGUGUAAAAACGCGGUCUUCACAUCAAGCUGAACUAGUUCAAGAUCAUAUUGCGCAACCAAGGCUAGCAAAAUCCGAAUAGACGAAUGCUUCACAACUGGAGAAAACACUUCAUUGUAGUCUAUUCCUUCUUUCUGAGUGUAACCCUUUGCUACCAAUCUAGCCUUGUAUCGAAUUUCAUUUUUACCAGGAAAUCCUUCCUUUUUUGCAUAUACCCAUUUGCAUCCAAUUGCCUUCUUUCCCUUGGGCAGUCUCACCAACUCCCAAGUCUUAUUUUUAUGAAGAGACUACAUUUCUUCAUUCAUAGCUUGCUUCCACUUUACACCAUCAGAGUUACUUAUUGCUUCUGUGUAAGUGGAAGGAACAUCAUCAUCUGCAAUUGGAAGUGCAUAGGCCACCAUAUCGUCAAAGCGAGCAGGCUUACGAAUCUCUCUUCUUGGCCUCCUAUAUGCAAUUGAAUCUUGUUGCUGUAGAAGUUCUUGGGUCGAAACUCCUUCAUCAUUUGUUCUUUCAAUAUUAGCUGGAUCAUCAUUAACCUUUUCAAACUCCACCUGCUGCAAAGUACUACUGGUUUUGUCAUCCUUUUGUGAAUCCUCGUUCUUCAUCAUGGUUGAUUCAUCAAAAGUUACAUCUCUACUGAAAACAAUCUUCCUUGUAUCAGGACACCAGAGACGGUAUCCUUUUACACCACCAGUUAUACCCAUGAAUAAUGCUUUCUUUGCUCUUGGGUCUAACUUAGAUUCUUUUACAUGAUAAUAUGCAGUGGAACCAAAAACAUGUAAAGAAUCAUAAUCAGUAGCAGGUUUACCAGUCCACAUCUCCAUAGGAGUUUUUUCAUUUAUUGCAGCUGAUGGCAAUCGGUUAAUUAGAUGGCACGCAUAUGUAACUGCCUCAGCCCAAAAUUCCUUGGCCAAUCCAGCAUUGGACAACAUACAUCGAACUUUCUCCAGUAUAGUCCGAUUCAUGCGUUCUGCCACCCCAUUCUGCUGUGGUGUAUCUCGAAUAGUGAAGUGUCGCACAAUGCCCUCAUCUUGACAUACUUGUAGAAAUGGAUCAUUUUUGUACUAAGUACCAUUAUCUGAUCGAAGUCGUUUGACCUUUCGACCUGUCUGAGUCUCCACCAUCUUCUUCCACUUCAGAAAUACAUCCAAAACUUCAUUUUUUCUUUUCAUUAGAUGCACCCAUACUUUUCUUGAAUAAUCAUCAAGAAAAGUGACAAAAUAGUGCAUACCUCCCAAAGAAGCCACUUUUGUAGGUCCCCACACAUCACUGUGAACAUAGUCCAGAAUUCCUUUCGUAUUGUGAAUUGCUGAACCAAAUUUUACCCUCGUCUGCUUGCCCAGAACACAAUGUUCACAGAAUUCCAAUUUGCAAGAAUUUUCACCUUUCAACAAGCCUUGCUUCGCCAAAGUCUGCAAAGCUUUUUCACCAGCAUGUCCCAAUCGUCUAUGCCAUAACCUGGUAGCCUCUGAAUCUGCAUCUUUCGCAGAAGCUGUUGAUGUUGAUCCAAUAACUGUACUUUCAUUUAAAUAGUACAAGUUAUUUCUUCUAGUGCUUUUCAUCACCGUCAAUACCCCUGCUACUACCUUUAGUAAUCCAUCUCUCAAAGUGAUUGUGAGCCCUUUAGAUUCUAGGGCCCCUAAUGAGAUGAGAUUUUUCUUCAAGCUGGGUACAUAGCGAACAUCUGUCAGAACUUGGAUUGAGCCGUCAUGGUUCUUCAAUUUGAUUGUACCUACACCCAUUGUCUUACAGGCACUAUCAUUGCCCAUAAAAACAACUCCACCUUCUAGUUCUUCAAGACUAGAAAACCAGUCCUUAUUAGGACACAUAUGGUAAGUACAUCCCGAAUCCAAUAUCCACUCAUCCGUUUGACAUGCCAUUGCCAUGCCAACCAAGCUAAAGUCUGACUCCUCAUCAUGCUCCGCUACACAUGCAUUAGAAAUAGACUUGCCCUUUUGUAACUUAGGACAAUUCUUUUUCCAAUGCCCUUUCUCACGACAAAAGGCACAUUCAUCUUUGGCGGGUCUCCCUUUGGACUUACCCCUUCUACCAGGUUUGCUGCUGUGUGAACGACCUCUUACUGUUAAGACUUCUGCAGUUGUAUCUCUGUGAUCUCUUUUAUCUUUCUUUCGAGUCUCAGAUCUAUACAACGCACUACAGACUGCAUCAAAUGUGAUUGAAUCUUUCCCAUGAAGCAAUGUGGUGGUAAGAUGAUCAUAUUCAUCAGGAAGGCAAUUCAACAACAAUAAUGCCUUGUCUUCAUCUUCAAAUUUCUCAUCCAAAUUUAGCAAGUCUGCUAAAAUUUUAUUGAAUGAGUUCACAUGAUCAUUCAUCGACAUACCGGGUGCAUACGUGAACCGAAAAAGUUUCUUUUUCAUAUAAAGCCUAUUUUCAAGACUUUUCGUUAGAAAUUUUUCUUCCAAUGUAUCCCACAGCUUCUUCGCUGAUGUCUCCCUCAUGACGGAGUACUUCUGCUCUUUGGCCAAACAUAGGCGGAUUGUACCACACGCCUGUCUAUUGAUCUUGGCCCACUCCUUAUCAUCCAUCUUGUCAGGUUUUUCUUCAAGGGCUAUAUCCAGCUCUUGCUGACAUAAGACAUCCAGGAUCUCACACUGCCACAUACCAAAAUUAUUGGUACUGUCAAAUUUCUCUACUUCAAAUUUUGCAUUUGUCACAGUAGUCCUUGCUGAUGACGAUGCUGCUGCCAUUUUUCUCCUCAAUCCCAACUACUGUAUACGUGAACAGUACUAUAUACGUGAAUAGUGCCGUAUACGUAAAUAGUACUGUAUACGUGAAUAGUGCCGUAUACGUGAAUAGUGCCGUAAACGGUCGUAUUCCCCAAGUACGAACCUGGCUCUGGUACCAAUUGUUGCGCGGAAGCGUGUGAAAGAGUAAAAUUAUUGUACUGAAAAAUCACACUAAGUUCAAUUCCCAGGAAAGAGAGGUGGAUCACGAGGAUCGCUUACAUACCAGAUCUUUCCUAGCCAGAAUAUCCCUCUAUCGUAAUUUAAUAGCACAAUAAAUCACUACAAUGACACUUGCAAAAUAUGCAGAACAAAAAAUAAAGAACACUAGAAUUUCAACGAGGUUCAGCAAAUUUUGCCUACGUCCUCGGGCACUACCAAAUAUAUUUCACUCCAAAAAUACAAGUGAAAGUUUACAAAUAGGGAGAGAGAACAAUUGCCUUAAGUAGAGAAUGGCAAGUGUGGGAUGAAGAAAGUAAGAAAUGGUUAGGCCUAUUUAUAGUUGAGGUUUAAGGAUCAACUUGCAAUGUCCCUAUACAAUUAGGGACCAAAAUUACAAUUAUCCCAUGCCAACUAAUCUUACUUUCUACUUUCGGUGCCUUUCGGUGCCAACUUUCUGCCACUAUUCAUCUUUGAAAAGUCAAAGAUUGUAGGUAUCCAAUAUGCAGUAACCUUGUCAACAAGCCCUUCAGGGGCCCUAUCUACUUUAGUAACCACAGCAAGAGUUCUCUCACCAUUCUUGUCCACUUGUUGCGACAUCCGAAUGGAUUCACAAGUUGAAAAAUCGACCGUGGCCGACAGAACAUUAAGGAUAAUGCUUUCCUUUGGUGUUAUGUACUGCAUGAUGAUGUCCCUGAUCUGCUCAUAUAUGUUGUUAGGCUGACCAUGGACAGGAACUCUGGUAAUUCCAGGAAGAUCAACCAUGGUAAGAUCAGGAACCCCAUCUUUUCUCACCACUAAAGUUAAAGGGGUGUCAGAUAUGCUCUUACCCGGGCCCGCAAUCUCAUCAGUUGCGAUGUUUAUGGCUGUUGCAAUCUGGGGUUCCUCCACUGGGACCAUUUUGCCAUUGUACUCCAAGUAAAGCUCUGGCCUUGGACUUGCAUGGUUCUGCAACCUGAUUAUGAGAGGUACCCUGGUGCAAAUUCCCUGGCUACGAGGAAGGUUAACGCCAGCCAAGGAUUCAAGAACACUAGACUUGCCUGAUGACUGGUCUCCGACCACAACAAUUGUGGGGAGCUGUAUGCCUUCUUUCAUCACCAUGAGCAGCCUGAGCCUGUCGAUGACAUCAAGCAAAGGUCGGAUUUUGUCGUUGAAUGAUGAAAUAAUUGGGGCUUGAGCUGCUGCUGCUGUCACCACCCUAGGUUGGUCCAUAGGAGGAGUUGCUGGUUGAGAAUCUUCAUAAUCAUUGAUGAAACCCAUGCUCCCUGAAUCAGCUUCAUCAUAGCUACCCAUUUUUUAGAAGUCGAGACAGGAGUGGGAAUUGGCCAAACUUGAUGUUUUAGAUGGUUUUUUUGUUGGAAGUUGGAAAGCAACAAGUUUUAACUUAAGUGAAGACAAACUCAAUGAAGCAUGCUUGGCUUGAUAAUGACAAUUAAAAUAGGGUAAAGCACCAAAAAUAGGAUCAAUAAGGUGAUAGCAUCCUAUACCAAAUCCCAAGAAACAUUCAGAGGAAGCUACAAUGGGAAUGGAAACUUUAUGUUAUACUUUUUAUUGUAGAAAAUACAACUUAUAUUCUGUAUUGGAUUGUAGAGAAUAGUGAAACAAGGACGCAAGAGAGGAAAUAGAACAAAAUCAAAUCGGAACCAAUCAGACGAUGAGUGCGUCGAUAACAGAACAAGUUCCUACAAGAACUAGAUACCAAGUAUAUUUUUCUCUUUAUUCCUUGUUUUGUGGAUUAUAUAACGAAUAUUGAUGUACUAUAUUUUUCUCUUUAUUCCUUGUUUUUGGAUUAUAUAACGAAUAUUGAUGUACGAUAUUUUUCUCUUUAUUCCUUAUUUUUGGAUUAUUUAACGAAUAUUGAUGUACGAUAAUACUUUGGUAUUGUUUUUACGUCAAAACAAAUAUGAUAUUGGACUUCUUCCCCCAAACAUUUAGACUGAUCAGUUAUUAUUCGAAAAAUUUUACCUAAAUACCAUAUUAAUAGAUGAGAACAUCUGUAUUUAAAAAUAAAAAUCCAAAAAGAUGAUUGCAUACCAAGGCAUGGAACAUUGGAAUCUUGCUACACAAAAAAGCAAAACAUGCAAUAAGCAAACCAUGAUGAUGACCCAAAUUUUAUGUGAAAAUAUUUAAAUUUAAUUUGGGUUAUUUUACUGUAAAAUAUUUUAGCUUUGUCUCCUAUUUUUAUAAUUUUAUCUUAGCUUUUCAUCAUAUAAUUCAUGAUUUCGCCUGAUAUCGUGAGAUUUAAUGUUAAUAUUUUAAGUAUUCAAAUCUCGGAUAGUUUAUGAACAAAGUUUCGAAAGAAAGAUGAUGGAAUAUUGACCUUGCAGCUGUAUAAGAGCUAGAAAGUAAUAUUAUAAAAAGAUUGGAGAUUAUAAGUUAAACACUUGGAAUUAUUGAAAAGUUGUUGCAGGAAGUUCGGUAGUUCGAUCCCCACACUGUCGGAUUCGCUUUGAGAGUAUGUGAAAUUCAUUAUACUCUAGAGCUCUCAAAGGGGACAUGCAAAGAGGCUUCGAAAGAAAAUUGCAUGAAGUUCCCACAAUGUCUCAUUGGCUUCAUUUAGAUAUUUUAAUCUUUAAUCAUUUUAUUUUAUAUAAAAAAUUGAACUCAUAAAAAAUUUAUUUCAAAUUAUUCUAAUUUUUAUUUUUCAAUUUUUAGCGUAAAUAUUGAUUUUUGUGUAAUUUUUUGUAAUUCAAUUGUUAAAGUAUGUAGUUUCAUACAUAAUUAUUGUUGUUUCAAUUGUUAAAGUAUGUAGUUUCAUACAUAAUUAUUGUUGUUAAUUUAGAAUAGCUAUGAAUGGGGGAUGCAUUGAGUUUGAAAUAUUUUAAGUAAUUUAUCAAAUUUUAUAACAUUAGUUAAAAUUAAAAGAAUAUAUAUUUACUCUCUCUUUUUUCUCUUUGUAUCGAAUAUGGUGUCUGAUUCUGUUUUGAUAAUAUCUGCUUUUUUUGACAUAAUAUCUAGAAGUACCUGUAGCCCCUUUUUAAGCCAUAAAUAAGAGGAUAAUAUGCUUCUGCGCACAAAAACUUAUAUCUUCCUACAUUGACAAUUAAGUUAAGACUCGAUUGGCAAGAUUUUAAAGAAAACAAAAUAAAGAAAAACUAAUCCCCCAAUUUACCGUCCACAGUAGUUCUGACAUUAUUAUAUAAUCUUCAAUUCUUUAUAAUCUAUGCUAUAUAUAUAGAGUACAGACACUUGCAGCAUGUAAUAAAGCAAACCAUGAUGAUGACCUAAAUUUUAUGUGAAAAUAUUAAACCAAGUAAGCAUCAUAAACAACAAUCCUGUCCAUGACCUUGGCCGCACUAUCUUUGGACUCCUUUAACACCUUGAUGCUGUUUUUAAGCUUCUCACGCUUUGCAACAAUGGCAGGAGAUUCCACCAGCAUCAUCUUUAUCCCAUGUCCAUCUGGUCCCAUCAGCUCCUUCAUAAUCUCAUCAGUGUCAUUGUGUACAAGAUUAUGAACAUGGUAUUGCAAAUGCAAUGCCAUGGAAUCAACCAAUCUCACCUUAAAUAUCUUCCAAUAAGCAACCAUUCUCAUCUUCAGGGCGAAAGCUUGUUGCAGGAUCGAAACAUUCGAGUGUUGUCUGAGAUGUUCGACUUGGAUUUCCCCGAAACCUUGGAGGUUCACACAGCAAGGCAGCGGCCCCAUGUUUGUUCCAGAUAUUUGGUUUAUGAAAUGGUCUUGUUCCUUCAUGAGCUUAUUCCACUCCAUCAUGUAAUCAGGGUUACAUGUAUAGCCUGUUAGCUUCUCCAUUUCUACUAUCUCUUUCACCCUAUUGAUUGAUUGCUCCCUCAGCUUUUGAACAAGGUUGUGAGCAGCUCCUUUCGCGAAUACCUUGACGUGAUAAUACAUUUCCCAGUGGCGCGUCAAAACAGACAUCACCACAUCGUCUAUGUAAUCCCAAUACUUUUCGGUGAACUUGAUAGGGAGAUAUGAUAUCCUCUCGACUUUUUUCCGUAAGAUACGAAGGAAUGCUUCAAAGGGAGGGAAGUUCGGUAGUUCGAUCCCCUUAGCAUCUUCCAAACCCUUGAUCUCUUCUGUUAAAAAGUCUUUUGAUAGAUUACUUUCCUCGCAGUUGUGAAGCUCAUCGGAGAACCGGUUCAGCAUUUCGACAAACCGAGCAGUCCCGUGCUUCGUGUUGUCCUCGGGGUAUUCAUCAAAUUCCCCCCUCCAAAGAAGCUUCUUGAGGGAUUCUUUAGCUGCUUGAAUGAUCCUCAUCAUAGCUUGAGUGGCAUCAGCAUCAGAAGUUAAGGCCUUUGGCAUUUUCUCUAGCUCUGAAACAUUUGCUUCCAGCUUUGCACUAAUGUUUUUAACAAUCUCAGGCAAGCACUUUGCAAUUUCAUUAGCUUGAAUUCGGACAAGCUUUUGAGCCAAAACAUGAACACCCACAAUUGAUUUAUCAAUACAUGACAAAUGUGCAUUAGUUUCGAACAAUCUAGCCUCUUCCUUCCUUGCUUCUUCAUAGGAUUCAUCACCAAUCCGAUUCCGAACACAAACAUAACCAAGUCCUAUAUUCACAUCAUCUGCAGUAACCUUGUCAACAAGCCCUUCGGGGGCCCUAUCUACUUUAGUAACCACAGCAAGAGUUCUCUCACCAUUCUUGUCCACUUGUUGCGACAUCCUAAUGGAUUCACAAGUUGAAAAAUCAACCGUAGCCGACAGAACAUUAAGGAUAAUGCUUUCCUUUGGUGUUAUGUACUGCAUGAUGAUGUCCCGGAUCUGCUCAUAUAUGUUGUCAGGCUGACCAUGGACAGGAACUCUGGUAAUUCCAGGAAGAUCAACCAUGGUAAGAUCAGGAACCCCGUCUUUUCUCACCACCAAAGUCAAAGGGAUGUCAGAUAUGCUCUUACCCGGGCCUGCAAUCUCAUCAGUUGCAAUGUUUAUGGCUGUUGCAAUCUGGGGUUCCUCCACUGGGACCAUUUUGCCAUUGUACUCCAAGUAGAGCUCUGGCCUUGGCCUUGCAUGGUUCUGCAACUUGAUUAUGAGAGGUACCCUGGUGCAAAUUCCCUGGCUACGAGGAAGGUUAACACCAGCCAAGGAUUCAAGAACACUAGACUUGCCUGAUGACUGGUCUCCAACCACAACAAUUGUGGGGAGCUGUAUGCCUUCUUUCAUCACCAUGAGCAGCCUGAGCCUGUCGAUGACAUCAAGCAAAGGUCGGAUUUUGUCAUUGUAUGAUGAAAUAAUUGGAGCUUGAGCUGCUGCUGCUCCCACCACAUUAGGUUGUUCCAUAGGAGGAGUUGCUGGUUGAGAAUCUUCAUAAUCAAUGAUAACAUCAAUGCUCCCUGAAUCAGAUUCAUCAUCGCUACCCAUUUUUUAGAAGUCGAGACAGGAGUGGGAAUUGGCCAAACUUGAUGUUUUUUAUGGUUUUUUUGUUGGAAGUUGGAAAGCAAUAAACUUAAACUAAAGUGAAGAAAAAUUCAAUGAAGCAUAUUUGGCUUUAUAAUGAAAAUUAAAAUAGGGUAAAGCACCAAAAAUAGGCACAAUAAAGCGAUAGCAUCCUAUACCAAACCCCAAGAAACAAUCAAAGGAAGCUACAAUGGGAAUGGAAAACUUUAGGUUAUACUUUGAAUUGUAGAAAAUACAUCUUAUAUUCCGUAUUGGAUUGUAGAAAAUAAUGAUACAAGGACAGAAGAGAGGAAACAGAUCAAAAUCAAAUCGUGACCAACCAAAAGAUGAGUGUGUCGAUGACAGAAAGUUCGAAACAUAAACAGCCCCACUAAUUCCUACAGGAACUACACAGCAGAACUAUAUGAAACAAUGUAUUCACAUUGAAGUUUCGGAUAGAUGUCACGUACAAGCCAUGUUGCCAUUAACUCAUAUGCUCUUUGUGUCAAAUGAACUCCAUCCCAACUAAGCCGUUCAUUAGGGUUUUCGCAUACCGGUACUUUUGGAUCUCCGCACCAACUUGAUAAGCCAUAAUUGUAGUCUCCCCCAAUUCCGCAGCAAGCCUUUUGCAAUGAUAUUGGAUCAAAACCUAAUGAGAUUUUUCGAAAACUCAGAACAUGACUAGAACCAUUCACAGUACGGUCUCAUAAACUUAUGGAUGCAAAUAAAUCAGACUUACCAAGCAGAUCAGCUUUGCUCAAAAGCCACAGGAAUGCAUUGUAGUAGUCACCGUAGACAACGGUUUCAUCUGGAUGUUCUUCUUUUAGCUCAGCAAUAGCUUGUUGAAGAAGAUAAUUAUGAUAGAUUGAAAAAUUAUUCAACUCCUUUAAACAAUGAAGUUCAUCAUAAGCAGUAGAAUCAUUUGUUUGGUAUUUGGUGAGAUAUACAGGAAAGCAGCCUAUGGGGAAGUUUCCAGGAACAACUAACCGAGUAGCACCAUAUCCGAUAACUCUCUACACAGUGGAACUUAUGAGAAACAGGGUUUCAAUGAUUAGAAGUGAUAUAAUCAGAUGUCUCUUGAAAGGAAACUUACUUUGGUAGCUUGUUUUAUCGUUUCUACUACCUCGGGCACCAUGGUCUUAACCUCUUCUAUGGUUUUUCCUUGCCAAAAGGCGUAGUUAUAGUCAUUUCCUCCGAUCUCCCCAACCAUGAAAAGAGCUUUUCCAUUUUUCUUGAAGCAAUCUACCAAAUAUAACACCUCAAGUGGUUAUUUGUGUUAAUCCAUUCUGAACAUCGUUAUUAUACCUGAUUACCUAACCAGGAGGCCUCAUUAGACCAACCGCUCCAUCAUGGAGGUCUCGCCUGCAUGAUAGCUCAACCAACUAAAGACACUCAUGUGCCUUGUCACACGAGCCACCACAAGGUCAUAUCAAGAUCCACUCAGGACCUGCUCCUGUCACAUCUAGUACAGGCUCUAUCACUCGACCAUUAAGUCUACAAGAAUAAUCUAUCUUCAACCUCUGCUAGCAGCUCUUGACACUCACGUGUGAGCCACCUUCAACCUCUUCCACCACAUCCUAUAUCAACAAACAUAUAUAUAUAUAUAUAUAGGAAAGAUGCUAACCUUUGUUACCACGACAAGUUGUAUUGAAAUAGCUAAACAUCUAGUCAAGUUGUCUACUUAAAGAUAUGCUGGUAGGCACAAAGGAAACAUUCCACUUGGCUAAAUCUUCUGCAGACAUGGCAGUAGCUCCGGCAAACGCGAAAUUAAGCCCAUAAUCAAAUAAUCCAUCUUUGUUUAAGUAAGGAUCAAGAAAAGGAAUUCCAGCAGAUAGUGCUGUUCAAAUGUUCAAAACACGAAACAGUAAACACACUGGUUAAAAAAAAGUUAAUUAAACCAACAAAAAUCAAUACAAAUAUAAUCAUUAAUCAUCUUCCUAAACCUUUCUAGUAUGGGGUUGACACUUUUUUAGAGAAAAAAGAGAUUGAUUCUUCUCCAAGCAAUGCACCCAACGUGUAUGGUCUCAGUGAAGCUUUUGAUUAGAAUUUAGUAUUUUACCUAUAUAAUCAAUCAUCAACAAACCAUCGGAGCAUCUCCCAGUUGCUUUCUUGAAGGUUUCUCCAUAUGGUAACCUUGCAAAUUUUGAUAAAGGGUUGUCUUGCACAUCAUUACCCGUAUCUGCUAUGGAAUCCCCGAGCUGAUAUAUGGCAUCGAAAUUGCAGCUGCUAAGGAUAUGUUGAUUGUUGCAUGUAACGAAGUUGAAGAAAGAGAUGAUAAUUAGUAUAGAGAACACAAAACCUGGUGGUGAAGAUUUACUAGAAGCCAUAUAUGCAGAAAUGGUAUUACUGGGUAUUUAGCAUCUAAAUCUUAGCUCCCCCUAAAAAGGUAUAUAGUUGUGCUCCUACAGGUAGCUUUGAAUCAGGGACGGCACCAAAGGGGCAGUCAAAGGCCUUAGCACCCCCCAAACGGAAAAUUAUUAUUUUAGUCCCUUGAAAUUUUUUAAAUUAUAAGUUAGGUAAAAAUACACUUUGACCCCACAAGAUGAUUUUUUUUUAAUUUAAUUCUUUUAAGAUUAUAAAUAACAAACAUAUAGAAAGAUAAAAUUAUAUUUUAGCCUUUUUAAAAUUAUAUAAUUUAAUUUUAGCCUCAAAAAUAAAGUCUUGACUUGGUCCUUUCGUAUACCUACUCUUAGACAAAAAAAAAAUCAUUUUAUUUAAGCUUUUUGUUUAUUAAUAAUGAGUUUUUUUUUUCUCAAUGAUUCAUUAAAUACAAUUAAAAAAUAUUUGGAAGAGAAAUCUAGCAGUAGACUAGAUAGUUAAGAUGAUAUCUAACAGAGAGGUCGAUGUACGAGUGUUUGUUGAAGCUCCUAUGUAACUUUUAACAAUUUUACAAACUGAUAGAGGUAAUGGUUUCUUUGAUCAUUUAUUUUUAAUACGAGUAAAGAAACCUAAUUAUUUAAUUAUGGGUAAACUACACAAGGAGUCACCCAACUAUGAAGAGUUAAAAAAAAGACAAUGGUGGUAACUUUUAAAAUUAGCAUAAUAGCAAUUUAACCCUUAACAUUUAUAUAUUGUAUCAAUUUAGUCUUGAUUCUAUUUUUUUUUUAACUCUCAACAUUUACACAUUGUAUAAUUUAGUCUUUCUUUUUGUAAUUUUGUUUUUCUUUGUGACAUUGAGGGUUAAUUUUAAAAGAAAAAGAAAAGAUAAAAAGUAUUAUCUUGGAUUUCUGGGUGCUCCUAUUUUUUUAUAUAUUUUUAAUCAAAUUGAACUGAUAAAUUUAUUUUUAACUUUUUAGUUAAAAGAGUAAAGAAAAACAAAGUUGUACAAAAAAAAAAAUCAAACUACGCAAUGUAUAAAUGUUGAGAGUUAAUUGUUUGAGGAAACAAGAUUAAAUUGACAUAAUUUAUAAAUAUUAAGGGUUAAAGUUGAUAUUAUGCUAAUUUUUAAAAGUUGCCAUUGAUGAUCAGUGACCAAAAAAGACAAAAGCGAAUAAUUUAGUGAUCAUUUUGUAACUUUUCAUAAUUAAAUGACAAAAAAAUUACGUAAUUUAAUCUUUAAUUAUUUGUUUUGGACAUUGAUUAUUUAAUAACUAAUAACAUUCAAUAAUUGACGUUAAAAAAUUGUUUGUAUGAUGAAGUCAUUGUCAUCACCCAAAAGAUGUACAUAUAAAAGGAGUCACAAUCGGCCUCUACCAAAUUGAUUUUAGAAAGUAGACGCUAACUAUUUGAAAUAUAAUUGUUGUAUCUUAAUUUAUAAGUUAUUAUAUUAUUAUAUAAGCAUAAUUUUCUUUUGGUAGAUAAAGAUUAUUUCUUUCUAAAUAAUCUUUCAAAGUUAUUAAAUAAUCGUUGAAUUUUUUUGUAAUUUGGAGUACAAAAUUAAGUGAAUGUUAACGUGUUUGAGGCGAAUCUCGAUGAACAUGUCAUGCAAAUGCAACGCAUAGCUAAAGGAGUAGAUAAGAGCUUUAGACCUCUUAAAUGUCAGUUGUUCAAUUUAGUUCCUUUCUAGCUUUUAUUUAAAUGGAACAAUUGUAAUUUACACCCUUUUCAAAUGUUUAAAUUUAAUUUGGGUUAUUCUAAUGUAAAAAGUUUUAGCUUUGUCCCCUAUUUUUUUAAUUUUAUCUUGGCUCUUCAUCACAUAAUUCAUGACUUCGCCUGAUACUGUGAGACCCAAUGUUAAUAUUUUAAGUAUUCAAAUCUCGGAUCGUUUAUGAACAAAAUUUUGAAAGAAAGAUGAUGGAAUAUUGACCUUGUAGCUGUAUAAGAGCUAGAAAGUAAUAUUAUAAAAAGAUUGGAGAUUAUAAGUUAAACACUUGGAAUUAUCGAAAAGUUGUUGCAGGAAGUUCGGUAGUUUGAUCGCCUUAGCUAACCUUCAAAGAUUCUUCAUCAAUUUAGACACCGAAAUCCCCACACUGUCAGAUUCGCUUUGAAAGAAGAGUAUGUGAAAUCCAUUAUACUCUAGAGCUCUCAAAGGGGCCAUGCAAAGAGGCUUCGAAAGAAAAUUGCAUGAAGUUCCCACAAUGUGUCAUUGGUUUCAUUAUGAUAUUUUAACCUUUAAUCAUUUUAUUUUAUAUAAAAAAAUUUGAACUGAUAAAAAAUUGAUUUCAAAUUAUUUCUAUUUUUAUUUUUCAAUUUUUAGUGUCAUUAUUAAUUUUUGUGUAAUUCAAUUGUUAAAGUAUGUAGUUUGACACAUAAUUAUUGUUGUUAAUUUAGGAUAGCCAUGAAUGGGAUGCAUUGAGUUUGAAAUAUUUUAAGUAAAUUAUCAAAUUUUAUAAUAUUAGUUAAAAUUAAAAGAAUAUAUAUUUACUCCUUUCUUUUUUUCUCUUUGUAUCUUGAUUUGUGGAUUAGGUAACGAAUAUUGGUGUCCAAUUAUGUUAUGAUAAUAUAUACUUUUUUUUAUACAAUUUCUAGAAGUACUUGUAGCCUCUCUUAAGCCAUAAAUAGAAGGAUGAUAUGCUUCAGCGCACAAAAACUUACGUUUUCCUACAUUAGCAAUUGAGUUAAAACUCGAUCGGCAAAAUUUUAAAGAAAACAAAAUAAAUAAAAACUAAUCCCCCAAUUUACCGUCCACAGUAGUUCUGACAUUAUUAUAUGAUCUUCAAAUCUUUAUAAUCUAUACUAUAUAUAUAGAAUACAGACACUUGCAGCAUGUAAUAAAGCAAACCAUGAUGAUGACCUAAAUUUUAUGUGAAAAUAUUAAACCAAGUAAGCAUCAUAAACAACAAUCCUGUCCAUGACCUUGGCCACACUAUCUUUGGACUCCUUUAACACCUUGAUGCUGUUUUUAAGAUUCUCACGCUUUGCAACAAUGGCAGGAGAUUCCACCAGCAUCUUCUCCAUCCCAUGUCCAUCUGGUCCCAUCAGCUCCUUCACAAUCUCAUCAAUGUCAUUGUUUACAAGAUUAUGAACACAGUAUUGUAAAUGCAAUGCCAUGGAAUCAACCAAUCUAACUUUAAAUAUCUUCCAAUAAGCAACUGUUCUCAUCUUCAGAUCGAAAGCUUGUUGCAGGAUCAAAACGUUGGAGUGUUGUCUGAGAUGUUCGACUUGGAUUUUUCCGAAACCUUGGACCUCCCUGAGACCUUGGAUUUCUCUGAAACCUUGGAGAUCCUCAGGGUAAGGUGGCAACAUCAUGUCUGUUCCAGUUAUUUGGUUUAUGAAAUAGUCUUGUUGGUUCAUGAGCUCAUUCCACUCCCUCAUGUAAUCAGGGUUACAUGUAUAGCCUGUUAGUUUCUCCAUUUCUACAAUCUCUUUCACCCUAUUGAUUGAUUGCUCCCUCAGCUUUUGAACAAGAUUGUGAGCGGCUCCUUUCGCCGAUACCUUGAGCUGAUAAUACAUUUCCGAGUGGCGCGUCAAAACAGACGUCACCACAUCGUCUAUGUAAUCCCAAUACUUUUCGGUGAAUUUGAUAGGGAGAUACGAUAUCCUCUCGACUUUUCUCCGGAAGAUACGAAGGAAUGCUUCACAGGGAAGGAAGUUCGGUAGUUCGAUCCUCUUAGCAUCUUCCAAACCCUUGAUCUCUUCUGUUAAAAAGUCUUUCGACAGAUUACUUUCCUCGCAGUUGUGAAGUUCAUCGGAGAACCGGUUCAGCAUUUCCACAAACCGAGCAGUCCCGUGCUUCGUGUUGUCCUCGGGGUAUUCAUCAAAUUCCCCUCUCCAAAGAAGUUUCUUGAGGGAUUCUUUAGCUGCUUGAAUGAUCCACAUCAUAGCUUUAGUUGCAUCAGCAAUUGAAGUUAAGACCUUUGGCAUUUUCUCUAGCUCUGAAACAUUUGCAUCCAGCUUUGCACUAAUGUUUUUAACAAUCUCUGGAGAGCACUUUGCAAUUUCAUUAGCUUGAAUUUGAACAAGCUUUUGAGCCAAAACAUGAACACCCACAAUUGAUUUAUCAAUACAUGACAAAUGUGCAUUAGUUUCGAACAAUCUAGCCUCUUCCUUCCUUGCUUCUUCAUAGGAUUCAUCACCAAUCCGAUUCCGAACACAAACAUAUCCAAGUCCUAUAUUCACAUCAUCUGCAGUAACCUUGUCAACAAGCCCUUCAGGGGCCCUAUCUACUUUAGUAACCACAGCAAGAGUUCUCUCACCAUUCUUGUCCACUUGUUGCGACAUCCGAAUGGAUUCACAAGUUGAAAAAUCGACCGUGGCCGACAGAACAUUAAGGAUAAUGCUUUCCUUUGGUGUUAUGUACUGCAUGAUGAUGUCCCUGAUCUGCUCAUAUAUGUUGUUAGGCUGACCAUGGACAGGAACUCUGGUAAUUCCAGGAAGAUCAACCAUGGUAAGAUCAGGAACCCCAUCUUUUCUCACCACUAAAGUUAAAGGGGUGUCAGAUAUGCUCUUACCCGGGCCCGCAAUCUCAUCAGUUGCGAUGUUUAUGGCUGUUGCAAUCUGGGGUUCCUCCACUGGGACCAUUUUGCCAUUGUACUCCAAGUAAAGCUCUGGCCUUGGACUUGCAUGGUUCUGCAACCUGAUUAUGAGAGGUACCCUGGUGCAAAUUCCCUGGCUACGAGGAAGGUUAACGCCAGCCAAGGAUUCAAGAACACUAGACUUGCCUGAUGACUGGUCUCCGACCACAACAAUUGUGGGGAGCUGUAUGCCUUCUUUCAUCACCAUGAGCAGCCUGAGCCUGUCGAUGACAUCAAGCAAAGGUCGGAUUUUGUCGUUGAAUGAUGAAAUAAUUGGGGCUUGAGCUGCUGCUGCUGUCACCACCCUAGGUUGGUCCAUAGGAGGAGUUGCUGGUUGAGAAUCUUCAUAAUCAUUGAUGAAACCCAUGCUCCCUGAAUCAGCUUCAUCAUAGCUACCCAUUUUUUAGAAGUCGAGACAGGAGUGGGAAUUGGCCAAACUUGAUGUUUUAGAUGGUUUUUUUGUUGGAAGUUGGAAAGCAACAAGUUUUAACUUAAGUGAAGACAAACUCAAUGAAGCAUGCUUGGCUUGAUAAUGACAAUUAAAAUAGGGUAAAGCACCAAAAAUAGGAUCAAUAAGGUGAUAGCAUCCUAUACCAAAUCCCAAGAAACAUUCAGAGGAAGCUACAAUGGGAAUGGAAACUUUAUGUUAUACUUUUUAUUGUAGAAAAUACAACUUAUAUUCUGUAUUGGAUUGUAGAGAAUAGUGAAACAAGGACGCAAGAGAGGAAAUAGAACAAAAUCAAAUCGGAACCAAUCAGACGAUGAGUGCGUCGAUAACAGAACAAGUUCCUACAAGAACUAGAUACCAAGUAUAUUUUUCUCUUUAUUCCUUGUUUUGUGGAUUAUAUAACGAAUAUUGAUGUACUAUAUUUUUCUCUUUAUUCCUUGUUUUUGGAUUAUAUAACGAAUAUUGAUGUACGAUAUUUUUCUCUUUAUUCCUUAUUUUUGGAUUAUUUAACGAAUAUUGAUGUACGAUAAUACUUUGGUAUUGUUUUUACGUCAAAACAAAUAUGAUAUUGGACUUCUUCCCCCAAACAUUUAGACUGAUCAGUUAUUAUUCGAAAAAUUUUACCUAAAUACCAUAUUAAUAGAUGAGAACAUCUGUAUUUAAAAAUAAAAAUCCAAAAAGAUGAUUGCAUACCAAGGCAUGGAACAUUGGAAUCUUGCUACACAAAAAAGCAAAACAUGCAAUAAGCAAACCAUGAUGAUGACCCAAAUUUUAUGUGAAAAUAUUUAAAUUUAAUUUGGGUUAUUUUACUGUAAAAUAUUUUAGCUUUGUCUCCUAUUUUUAUAAUUUUAUCUUAGCUUUUCAUCAUAUAAUUCAUGAUUUCGCCUGAUAUCGUGAGAUUUAAUGUUAAUAUUUUAAGUAUUCAAAUCUCGGAUAGUUUAUGAACAAAGUUUCGAAAGAAAGAUGAUGGAAUAUUGACCUUGCAGCUGUAUAAGAGCUAGAAAGUAAUAUUAUAAAAAGAUUGGAGAUUAUAAGUUAAACACUUGGAAUUAUUGAAAAGUUGUUGCAGGAAGUUCGGUAGUUCGAUCCCCACACUGUCGGAUUCGCUUUGAGAGUAUGUGAAAUUCAUUAUACUCUAGAGCUCUCAAAGGGGACAUGCAAAGAGGCUUCGAAAGAAAAUUGCAUGAAGUUCCCACAAUGUCUCAUUGGCUUCAUUUAGAUAUUUUAAUCUUUAAUCAUUUUAUUUUAUAUAAAAAAUUGAACUCAUAAAAAUUUAUUUCAAAUUAUUCUAAUUUUUAUUUUUCAAUUUUUAGCGUAAAUAUUGAUUUUUGUGUAAUUUUUUGUAAUUCAAUUGUUAAAGUAUGUAGUUUCAUACAUAAUUAUUGUUGUUUCAAUUGUUAAAGUAUGUAGUUUCAUACAUAAUUAUUGUUGUUAAUUUAGAAUAGCUAUGAAUGGGGGAUGCAUUGAGUUUGAAAUAUUUUAAGUAAUUUAUCAAAUUUUAUAACAUUAGUUAAAAUUAAAAGAAUAUAUAUUUACUCUCUCUUUUUUCUCUUUGUAUCGAAUAUGGUGUCUGAUUCUGUUUUGAUAAUAUCUGCUUUUUUUGACAUAAUAUCUAGAAGUACCUGUAGCCCCUUUUUAAGCCAUAAAUAAGAGGAUAAUAUGCUUCUGCGCACAAAAACUUAUAUCUUCCUACAUUGACAAUUAAGUUAAGACUCGAUUGGCAAGAUUUUAAAGAAAACAAAAUAAAGAAAAACUAAUCCCCCAAUUUACCGUCCACAGUAGUUCUGACAUUAUUAUAUAAUCUUCAAUUCUUUAUAAUCUAUGCUAUAUAUAUAGAGUACAGACACUUGCAGCAUGUAAUAAAGCAAACCAUGAUGAUGACCUAAAUUUUAUGUGAAAAUAUUAAACCAAGUAAGCAUCAUAAACAGCAAUCCUGUCCAUGACCUUGGCCGCACUAUCUUUGGACUCCUUUAACACAUUGAUGCUGUUUUUAAGCUUCUCACGCUUUGCAACAAUGGCAGGAGAUUCCACCAGCAUCAUCUUUAUCCCAUGUCCAUCUGGUCCCAUCAGCUCCUUCAUAAUCUCAUCAGUGUCAUUGUGUACAAGAUUAUGAACAUGGUAUUGCAAAUGCAAUGCCAUGGAAUCAACCAAUCUCACCUUAAAUAUCUUCCAAUAAGCAACCAUUCUCAUCUUCAGGGCGAAAGCUUGUUGCAGGAUCGAAACAUUCGAGUGUUGUCUGAGAUGUUCGACUUGGAUUUCCCCGAAACCUUGGAGGUUCACACAGCAAGGCAGCGGCCCCAUGUUUGUUCCAGAUAUUUGGUUUAUGAAAUGGUCUUGUUCCUUCAUGAGCUUAUUCCACUCCAUCAUGUAAUCAGGGUUACAUGUAUAGCCUGUUAGCUUCUCCAUUUCUACUAUCUCUUUCACCCUAUUGAUUGAUUGCUCCCUCAGCUUUUGAACAAGGUUGUGAGCAGCUCCUUUCGCGAAUACCUUGACGUGAUAAUACAUUUCCCAGUGGCGCGUCAAAACAGACAUCACCACAUCGUCUAUGUAAUCCCAAUACUUUUCGGUGAACUUGAUAGGGAGAUAUGAUAUCCUCUCGACUUUUUUCCGUAAGAUACGAAGGAAUGCUUCAAAGGGAAGGAAGUUCGGUAGUUCGAUCCCCUUAGCAUCUUCCAAACCCUUGAUCUCUUCUGUUAAAAAGUCUUUUGAUAGAUUACUUUCCUCGCAGUUGUGAAGCUCAUCGGAGAACCGGUUCAGCAUUUCGACAAACCGAGCAGUCCCGUGCUUCGUGUUGUCCUCGGGGUAUUCAUCAAAUUCCCCCCUCCAAAGAAGCUUCUUGAGGGAUUCUUUAGCUGCUUGAAUGAUCCUCAUCAUAGCUUGAGUGGCAUCAGCAUCAGAAGUUAAGGCCUUUGGCAUUUUCUCUAGCUCUGAAACAUUUGCUUCCAGCUUUGCACUAAUGUUUUUAACAAUCUCAGGCAAGCACUUUGCAAUUUCAUUAGCUUGAAUUCGGACAAGCUUUUGAGCCAAAACAUGAACACCCACAAUUGAUUUAUCAAUACAUGACAAAUGUGCAUUAGUUUCGAACAAUCUAGCCUCUUCCUUCCUUGCUUCUUCAUAGGAUUCAUCACCAAUCCGAUUCCGAACACAAACAUAACCAAGUCCUAUAUUCACAUCAUCUGCAGUAACCUUGUCAACAAGCCCUUCGGGGGCCCUAUCUACUUUAGUAACCACAGCAAGAGUUCUCUCACCAUUCUUGUCCACUUGUUGCGACAUCCUAAUGGAUUCACAAGUUGAAAAAUCAACCGUAGCCGACAGAACAUUAAGGAUAAUGCUUUCCUUUGGUGUUAUGUACUGCAUGAUGAUGUCCCGGAUCUGCUCAUAUAUGUUGUCAGGCUGACCAUGGACAGGAACUCUGGUAAUUCCAGGAAGAUCAACCAUGGUAAGAUCAGGAACCCCGUCUUUUCUCACCACCAAAGUCAAAGGGAUGUCAGAUAUGCUCUUACCCGGGCCUGCAAUCUCAUCAGUUGCAAUGUUUAUGGCUGUUGCAAUCUGGGGUUCCUCCACUGGGACCAUUUUGCCAUUGUACUCCAAGUAGAGCUCUGGCCUUGGCCUUGCAUGGUUCUGCAACUUGAUUAUGAGAGGUACCCUGGUGCAAAUGCCCUGGCUACGAGGAAGGUUAACACCAGCCAAGGAUUCAAGAACACUAGACUUGCCUGAUGACUGGUCUCCAACCACAACAAUUGUGGGGAGCUGUAUGCCUUCUUUCAUCACCAUGAGCAGCCUGAGCCUGUCGAUGACAUCAAGCAAAGGUCGGAUUUUGUCAUUGUAUGAUGAAAUAAUUGGAGCUUGAGCUGCUGCUGCUCCCACCACAUUAGGUUGUUCCAUAGGAGGAGUUGCUGGUUGAGAAUCUUCAUAAUCAAUGAUAACAUCAAUGCUCCCUGAAUCAGAUUCAUCAUCGCUACCCAUUUUUUAGAAGUCGAGACAGGAGUGGGAAUUGGCCAAACUUGAUGUUUUUUAUGGUUUUUUUGUUGGAAGUUGGAAAGCAAUAAACUUAAACUAAAGUGAAGAAAAAUUCAAUGAA